rnacentral:lncRNA from 1 species
GAGAUUCUGCCCUCCUCCUGUUCGGAAAGACACAGAUGUAACUGAAUCACAACGACUAAUAAACAAUGACUCAAGGGUAUCUGGACAGCUGCAAUGCUGUAAGCUGGCACAAAGAGAUACCGACAACCACCUAAGAGAUGUUAGGUUGCUCCCACAAUUAUCCUCCUCUUUCUCUCCUAAACUCACCAAAUUUGAACAAUAACGUACCUCCAACCUCCUUAAAUUCGCAAGAAGCUUACCUGCCUCUGCUUCAGAUUCCCACAGGUAUCUUAUUUCACUACACCUUUCUAUCGUUACUUCUUCAACUUCCCCAAGAUACUUCAUAACACCUCCCCACACCUCAUGAGUAAGACCUGAAAUAUCAUGUAAUAUCAACUUGGUGACUGAUGAAGCGACAUGAACCAGGCUUGUCAACACACCAUGACCACAUCCUUUUACUGUCAUAACUCUGAGUAAAGGUAGUUUUUCAAGUGAGACUUCAACCAGAUUAGGACAAAAUAGAAUAAUAAGCUCUUUAAGGCAUGGAAACACUGCUGCAUCUACAACCCCAUUGUUAUUGAUUGACCAUUCCUUCCAUGAUGGCAUAGUAUCAAAAGUUAGAAUUUCAAGGGAAGGGAAUGCAACACCUGUUCCAAGCAACUCCCAACCCACAACUUUCACCUUACUCAUCUUCCCAAUAUACAACUCCUUAAGUGAUGGUAGUUGCCCAAGUUCUGGUAGAGAUGUACAUUCUUCGCACCCAUAUAUUGACACGUGAGUCAACCCAAGAAACGAAGGAUCCCCAACCCAAUUAGGAAACUCUAUAACCGCAUAUGACACAAUUUUAAGCUUCUUCAAACUAUCAGUUUGAGGCUUCAACUCUGUAAGGACCUCCUUAUCAUGUGUCUCCUUUCGAAAAACGUUUAACCCGGUAUCACUAUGACACAACCUAAGCCCCUUUUGCAAUAAUCCAUAACCCCAAUCCAACUCCAACUCACUAAGCCUUUUUUGUGAUAAGUGUGCAUUGCAUGCCUCCAUUGCAUUUUGUACAUUGCCCAGCCCCCAAAUGGAAAUUUUCCCAUGGAGAUUUUGCAAGUUCUUAAGCUCGGUUAUUGCAAAUCCGUUUUCACCUCCAAUUAUGAUCUUGGAGAGAGUUUGUAGGCCUUUCAACUCACCAAUCCCUAAGGGCAUCUUCUUCAAACCUGGAGUAUCCCUAAUGUCCAAAUGCCUCAAAUUUUUAAGCUUUAAGAAGCUGUUGGGCAAGUUAAUUAAACUUUUACAGCCAAAAAGGAUCAAUGUCUGGAGAUUAUAAAGAUUGCAGACAUUUUCUGGUAAAAGCUUGAUAUCAGUUCGAGAUAAAUUCAGAUACCGCAAGUGCUUUAGACUGCCAAUGAAUUCGGGUACCUCGCUUAUGCUAAGAUUACUCAAACUUAGGACCCUUAACAAUGGUAACUCCUGAAGUAAGUUCUCCAGGACCUUGUUUGAUAAGUAGAAUCUUUGCCAACUGUCUAUCACCCCAACAGAUACCGCUAUCAACGUUCUCAAACUUUUAGCUCCUUUGAGUGGCUCGAACCUUCCGGAAACCAUGUAUUCCUCACGAACAAAUGACAGAUGGCGGUACUUUUCGAAUGAUUCAUUCCUAUGUUCUUUCUCCGUCCCAAUGUCUACCCUUGAAAAAAACUCCCCAGCAACAGAUGUGGCCAAGUCACUCAUGAGAUCAUGCAUCACAAACAACGAUCUGUCAUUUGGUGCAGGUUGAAAAAAUGACCUUGACCACAACGCAUUAAAAUACUCGAGACCCAAGCGUUCCAUUGUCUUGUUUGUCGUUGAUUGCAAAAAACCUUCUGCCAUCCACAACAAAAUCAACUUCUCCUUGUCAAACUCAAAGUCCUUGGGGAACAAGGAGCAGUAUGCAAACAACUGCUUCAAACAUGGAGAGAGAUCAUGGUAGCUUAAUUUGAGAGCCGGAACAAUCCCAUCUCCCUUUUCUAGACUCCAUAUCUCACUAUUCAGCACUUCUUUCCAGUCUUCCUCAUCUAUUUUUGUCCUUAAUAACCUUCCAAGUGCUUUCAAAGCCAACGGCAACCCAUUACAUUUUCUAACAAUACCUUCACCAUGUGGUUUAAGUAGCGGAUGUGAAUCAAAGUUUUUUUCUCCCAAUGCAUGCUGACAAAAUAAGGAUAAAGCACUUUCAUCUGAUAGAAUAGGCAAAUGAUAAGGUUCAUUGUUACCAAGUUGGGUUAACAACGACAUCUUCCUGGUUGUCAUGAUAACUUUACUUCCGGGUGCCCCUGCAAGAAAUGGCCCUGCUAGGAUUUCCCAAUCCGUAUAGCUUUCACUCCACACAUCAUCUAAAACAAGCAGAAAUCGCUUAUUUGAGAUCUUCUCUCUUAAAGCUACUUGCAGCAGAUUUAAAUCCUUAAAUACUUGGUUUCCCCCACCUAUUGAUUGAAAAAUAAUACUGCUUAUAUUGAAAAUAUCAAACUCAUCAGAAACACAGACCCACGCCAUGAGUUCAAAACGAUCCUUCCCUUGCAUCUCAUCAUACAAAAGUCUAGCGAGAGUGGUCUUACCUACCCCACCCAUACCAACUAUUGGCACGAUGCUAACGUUUCUAUCACAUGGUUCAUAUAGCUUGAGAAGCAACGCUUCCUUAUCAUCUUUGCGCCCAACAAUACUAGAUGGAUCUACCAAAGAGGUCUCUAACCUUCUAUUUCUAUGUUUUGGGCUUUCACCUAUCACACUUAAGCCAAGCUUAUAUUUUUCCUCAAACAGUUCUUGUAACUUGAUGGUGAUAUUUUCAAACUUGUCAUGCAUCCUAGCACUUGGUAACAGCUUUCUUACCUUGCUUGAGGUUCCAGAUUCCUCUGUGAACUCACGAUGCAUAGCUUCUGUUGACAAUUCGUCAAGUAGAUCGUCUAUGUCGUAAGCCAAAUGUUGGAGACUAUUCAGCCAUUCUUUAACAGCUUCCUGACGUAUUUCCUUCUGAGAAGCAUCAUUAAGCAGAUCUUUGAUCUUGAUUAAUGACAUCUUUAAUUUUUCCACGUCAUCGUCAUCGAUUUUCUUGAAACGAGCAAACUGCCUGAAGGCUUCGGAGGCCAGCUUGUCACAGAACAAAGAGUACAGGGCAGAAAUGAUUCCAGCCAUUGCUUACGGUGAAGGCGUAGGUAUGAAUGAUAGAGAUGAAGAUGAAGUGAGCGUGACUUUUGAUUGAAAAGAACGAUCCAAGCCCUAGUUGUCCAUUGUUUUUUGGUCAACGCCUUUUUGCCACCGCUUUACUUUUAAAUAGUCCAGCGGAUCAUCAAGGACAAGUUUAUGUUAUUUUUGAUUGGUCCUCCUAAAUACACGAAUGAAUUCGUGUAGUGCAUAAAAUUUAGUAGUUUUACUUGACUUACGUCAAAUCAAUUUCAUUUGUCAAUUAUUUUUAUUUAAAACCUUAUAACUUAAAGCAAUAACAUAUUUGGCCCUUUAACUUUAUAAUCCUUCGUUCCAAUCCAUUUUAGUUGUAAAUCACUUUUAUUUGAAAUCUUAUAUGGCCCAUUAACUUUUAAAUAUUGUCAUUUUAUCUUUAUAAUAAUAAUAAUAAUAAUAAUAAUACAAGAAAAUUUCUGAAUAGCUACGGAAAAUAUUUACGGAAUCAAAAUCCGUAGCAAUUUUAGUAUGGAAUAUGUUGCGGAAUGGCUUGUCGUAGCUAUAAUGCUACGGAAACGGUUACGAAAUUGUAUUGUAUAGCUAAAUCCUAAAUAGCUACGUAAAGUUUCUACGGAAUCAUGAUCCGUAGCUAUUCUACUAUAAAAUAUGCUACAAAAUGAUUGGUCGUAGCUAAUUUGCUACAAAAAUAACUACGGAAUUGCAGUCCGUAGCUAAAUCAUGAAUAGUUGUUACGAAAUCGAAACCCGUAGCUAUUUUACUAUAAAAUAUGCUAUAUAAUUUUUUGUUGUAACUAGUUCGUUAUGGAACUUAUUGUGGAACUCAAAUUGUAACGAAUAGAUGUCGUAGAAACUAUCAUAGCAAAAUUGCUAUGAAAUUAUAAUUUCGUAGCUAAACAGUUUGCUACAAGAAAUAAAACUACGGAGUCUAAUUGAAAUUUUAUGUAGCGAAUUCCAUAGUUAUUUGGCUUUAGCUACGAAAUUUCAUGUUUUUGCUAUGGAAUUUUUCCAUAUUUAAAUCGUUUACAAAUAAUUAAAUAUAUAGGAUUAUUGACUCGGUUUCCCUGUAAAACAAAAGUAUGAGGAAAAAAAUUAACUUGAUGGGAAACUGUUUAUGCUGCUUUGGCGUCACAACAGAUCAUUACGGUCUGAUGGAUGGAAAACUGUUUAUGUUGCUCGUGUGAAUUCAUACAUUUCUCCAUUUGCAACACACAGUAAUUGUAACAAUUCUACAGUUAUAAUAUCUGAUAAUUAAUAAAAUCAAGUUUAUGUUUUGUUGUUUAUAAUUAUUAAGAUCUUUAACAAAAUUGUUUUUUUUUUCCAUUGAUAAAUUUUAGAAAGAUUCUUUUCAUCUCGCUUUUAAAAUUAUACAAAUAUUAAACAUAAUUGGUUUCUAAUAACGGUCAAACCAUAUGGUUAAAUGGCUAUCUGAUUAAAUAGUCGACCAUUUGAGUUAUCAAUUUAUAAUAGUUAAUAAUUGAAUAAUGAGUUAUCAAAAUCUUUUUUGGUAACUAAUCCAUAAGUUUAAAUAUAAAAUGUUUAUUUAUAGAUAUAAAUUAUAAAAAAUAUAUAUUAACUAAAUAGUUUAUUCAGUUUUAUUAGUUUAACCAAAUAAGGUAUCUUUAUUUGGUUAAUCAAACCGAAUAAACCAAAUAUCCGAGUAACUCGAGCCAAAUCAACCAACCAUCAUUUGGUUUUGUUCAGUUAUUCAAUUUAAGCUAUUUUUAUCACACCCUUUUAUUUUAUGAUCAUGAUACAAAAAUUUUAAAAUAUCUUUUUAUUUGUUUAAUACAAAUAAAAUGACUAUUUUGUUAACGUCUAUAGUAUACAUACUAAUUCUUAGAGGUUUUCAUUGAAAAAAAAAAUAAAAGUAACAACCAUCAUUAGUAAUUAGCAUAUACAUCAUGUGAAAUUAAAAAAAAAACAUUUGGAAAAUGAUAAGAAAAUUAGGACUAUACAAAAACAUAAUAAAAUAAAUUAAAAACCUAAACUAGUAACUUAAUUAUUAUUUGAGUUUAAUUUUAUUAAAAAAAAUUAAAAAUUUUAUUAAGUUAAUAUUAUAUCAUUUAGAAGUUAUCUUUUGCAAUUUAAUAUAUUAAUUUAAACUAAAAUAAUAAUAUAAAAUAUAGUAUAGAGAUUGAAAUGGUAAAAACAACAUAUUGAAAGUUUAAUAAAAAUGGAAGGAUAAGAACUGCAAAUUGAUAUUGAUUGAAAUAGUAAAACAAACCUGUUGAAAACUUAAUAAAAGGAUCCUCCUAUUCGCACGAAACAAAUCGUGUAAUUGUUUUGGUAUUUGUGCCUGAAGUUUGAAAACUGACAAUUUGUCACAACGNCCUAUACUUUUUCGACUUUUAAAAAUUCCCUAUAUUAAUCUAUUCUAUUAGAAAUAUGUUCAUAUGUGUAUGAUAAUAUUUAAAAAUAUAUAUACAUAAUUUUUAACCUAUAGUAUGAGUCUAAUUCAUUUGUAAACUCAAUCAACAUUUAAAAAUUAGUUUUUAAAAACUCAAUUAGUAUUUAAAAUUAAUUGAUGUUUUAAAAAAUUAGCAUUUAGAGUUGGUGUUUAAAAGCUCAAGUAGUGUUUAAAAUUAACAUUUACAAACUCAAUUAACGUAUUAGAACUCAAUUGGCGUUUAAAAACUCAAUUAGUGUUAAUUAGAAAAUUACACUUUCAUAAGUUUAAAAUUAUACAACUAUUGAAGCAUCAUAAACCGUUAUUAAAUUAGUGUUUUUUUUUAACAUGGGAAAUCCAUCGGCAUUUUGUUUUUUUAAUAUGUAUAUAAAUAAAAAAGAAAGCUAUAAAUAAAAUGGGAAAAAUACAAAUCUAGCAAUUUUUGUUAAUUACUUAUCAAAAAAUAGCAAAAGAAAAUAAUACUUAGCCAAAAAUAGCCCUUAAAAAGGUUGUCAACUUUUGGUUGACUACGGUCAACAUUGUUGACUAUUAUUUUAUGCCUUAAAGUAGUGUUUCGUGCUAAUAGGCUACUGUUUCACAGACUCAUUUACUUUUUCAUGGCUCAUUAGCCCAAAGUAGUGUUUCGGUUAAGCUACGGUAUCCCAAACCGUAGGUUUUUUCACAAAAAAGUAGAGGAAACCCCAAAAACAGUAGAUUUAAAAAAAAACGUAUUUUCCCCCCAAAACCGUAACCUACGGUUUGGGAUACCGAGCUUAACCGAGAGGAAACUAUAGGUUUCCCUAAACCUACGGUUUUGUAUGUUACAAAUGAAAAAAACAAUUCUUUUAUACAAAACACGAAAUAGUAGACGAUAUGGCGAAACAGUAGACGAUUUUAGAAACCUAUAGUUUCAUGGGCUAUAUUCGGACAUACUAAUUUUUGGCUAAAAAUUGAUAAUCACUUCCUUAAUUUGGUUAGAUUAGUAAUUACCCCUAAAUAAAAGUAUAUUUUGUUGAAAUAAUGGAUGUGUGGAAUAUAUUUUAAACAAGUAAAAGGUGAAUUUUGAAAUACAUAGUUAAGUAGAAGGGUGACAAAUGAAAAUUCCUAUUAUGUAAACAGUUUGUUUAAAUUUAAAAAUAAAAUUUGACUGAAUAAACAGAAUCAAUCAAAUCAUCGUGCAUUUAGACUUUUGUUCGUGUAUAUAGAAUUACCCUUUUGAUUAAGUAUUAAACAUAAAAUUUUAUGAAAACUAGAUGAAAUCUCAUAAAUGAUUCCUUAGUUUGUCAAAGACUAUAAUUUUAGUUCAAAUUUUUUAUUUGUAUCAAUUGGGUCAUUGUGGUUUUCAGUUUCGCAAAAUCAAUCCAUCUUUCGUUCAGUCUGGUCUAUAGUUAGACUUUUCUUUAUGACAUUGUACCCUUGAACCAAAUUUGCAAUUGAUUAUUUAUUAGAGUAAAUUACAUGAAUCGUCUUUUAUUCAAGUGUCAAAAGAUAUGUUCAGUCUCUCUUUCAAAAAUUAACUCGGAUUAUCAUUGUAUUUUUUUUUUCAAUCGGGUCGUCCCGGCGGACAUAAAAUGACUAAAACAUGCUAGUCUUCAUUUGUAUUAAGUUGUUCUUAAGCUAUUAAGACAUAUACUAAAAUAUGCUUAAGUAGAAGCAGCUUAUAAGACCUUAAACUCUACACUACUCAAAGCAAGAGAGGAGAAGGAAAAGCACCAUGGUGCUCUCGGUUUUUCAAGAAGAAAAAGAAAAAAAAAAUACUAAAUAGUUCAAGCCUCAUCUCUCCUUUAAUACUCAUGUACUUAGAUGAAAGCCCAUUCUUUCAUUUAAUGAGAUCAUGAUUUACAGGCAACUCAUGAAGUAUAAGAACAUAAAAGUCAAAGAAACAACCACCAUAUCUCCCUAAACAUGUAGUAGGAAAGAGUAUGAGUGGAAUCCACAUCAUCACUCUUAUAAAUAUAAAUCAUAUAUAAAAUGGUCUUUUAUAAGUCCAAUAUUAUAUACAUGACAUUUUAAUCAUACCAUAUGUAACGUCUUAAACACCAAGGUAAACGUUUUUCAAAUUUUAAAAGGAAUUAAAAGUCAUUUCAUAAAAGUUAAACACCAUAAAUUCAUUCUUUUACAACAUGGAGUCAAAAUCAGAGUAUCAAAUCAUAAAGUCUAUUGGAUUUUGUGUAUUGUCACGCCUUCGCUGUCACAAUUGGAAAUUUCAAGUCCAAAAGCUAAGCUAAAGGAGUCCUGUAUAUGUAAUCGUUAUAGUUAUACUAUUAUUGCGUUCUUGGUAAUGUAAUCUUUGAUAAUUAGACUACCCUGAAGCCUCCUAAGUCAAUGCAAACCAAUAAGAAAUUAAGUUAUGUCAAGACAUUAGCCAUAUUACAUAAAGCAAAUACAUUAAAGUUCAUAUGCACUUCAGGACUAUGAACUUUUCCCUAGAAACAAACAUGAUCGUGAACCACCAUAAACUUCAAAAGAAUGGCCAUGAACACCUAAGGAGAAGGAAUCUAGGCCGUGAACAACUUUCGAGGGGCCACUUUGGCCGUGAAUUACUUAGCUAAUCAAAACCUUGACCAUGAACACAUUCCUAGGCAUCAUAUUGAGCGUAAAAUCCUCCCCAUGAGCACCUUUAGGCCGUAAACCCCUCCACAUGAGCAUAUUAGGUUGUAAACUCAAAAGAGAAAAGGAAUAUGGAACCGUGAACUCCUUUUCAAUUCAAGGUGUUUAGGGAUUGUGAGCUGUAAUUGAUUAUUUCCAAUACAAAUCUCAGUAACCUAUGCAUUGCCUACCAGCAAACCAAGCACAUACCAAAUCAAUUUCCUUAUUCUCGUAUAAAGGGGGCGUAAACCCCAUUUCUCAUUCCACAAACAUAUUUCACAUUCUGUGAGAUCUCAGUAAACCAUCCCAAUGAUUCAACCACGAACUCCAGAAGCCAUUUCUUCACAACUCCUAAUAUUUAGUAAGUAAUUCGUGCCUAGCUAGAUAUUUCAUACAUUUAGUUGUUACAACUCUUUUUAAUCACACAUAACUUCAUGUGUUAACAACAUUAGGAUACCAAAAUAUCCAAGGGAUUUGUGACAUCCCCUAAUUUCUCGGCCAGAAAAGACCGAUUUAAUUUAUGUUUUUUAAAAUAAAAUCAGAGAAAUCUUUUUAAAAGAUGUUGCGGAAUUGGUCCCCAAACAAAAUAUGAUAAAAGUUUAUCAAAACCCUUCAUUAAGAAGGUAUAUGUUUUCCAUAUAUAUAUAUAUAUAUAUAUAUANAUGUCAUGUUCCGAUACAGAUCAAAAGCAUAAACAAGACAUUAUAAGCCUUUCAACAGUUAUUUACAACUACUGGCCUAUAAUCCAAAAAUCUCUCGUUGUCCUCCGACUAUGCUCGGGGUCCACUACCUGUAACAUAAAAAGCUGAGUGGGUCAGGCUUGGGAGCCUGGUGAGCAUAUAGGGUUUUCAACCCACAAUAAUAAUAAACUUACUAAGUUCAUCGAUCAACAAUAACCCUGAUUACCCGUUCCCGUUAUCCUCACUUUACGUCCCUAAACACUUAUCACAAGGGACCUAGCCUAAAGAAUAUCAUCAGGAUGGACACUACUGCUAAGGGGUUUCCUCAGCCAUACAUGUCCUAAAGGCAACCAUGAGGGGGAUGGAGUACAGCGAAUGAACACUCUCAGUUCAUUAACACCUACAGGUUGCGGACCUGCGAAUGUUUCCCACUAAACUGUCUAGAAAGUCCAUGGUCAUCAUCCAAACUCCGCUAGAUGACUGGAUCUCAAAACACAUUGAGGCCUAUCAUCAAUUUUAUUUUAUCACACAUCACUAUCUACCCAUGUUCUACCCAACAUAUUUGUAGAUAAAAAUACUUAUGUAGUUUAAAACUUGUAUAAAACAUCAACUCAGCAGUUACCUCAAAUAAACAAUUAAUAUAUCUACACAUAGCACGUAUUAUAAGGUAAAUACUUCAUAUUUAUGUGUAAAAUGAAAGUGACUAUACACUCACUUGGUUUGAUGAUAAUCGGGCAAUAAUUCGUUUCCUAAAACGAUCGUUUCUAAUAAAACCGGGAGUUUUAUUGAGAAACCGGGCUUUGCAAAAGUCGGGCUUCGAAACCGAAAAGAUAAAUUUUCCGGGCUUCUCGGGCACUCCGUGGAGUACUCCGGGCUUUACAAUCGAUAUCGGGGCUUUGCGGGAUGUUAAGAUGAAGAAAAUAUGGGUUUAGGGGUUAAAAUUGACAAAUUUUCAAAGUUACCCGGGAGGUCUCGCACCCUUCUAUUUAUAGGGGCGAGGCUUCUAAUCGGACGGUCAGGAAGAAGACACGCCUCGUAGAUCCAAGGGUUCGCAGGGAAGGCUUGCACGAGGGUAGCAUGUGCGAAGGGCUCGGUGUCGGCCUUUGAUUGGACUGCGGUCUACUAGUCCACAUGCGAGGUUCGGAGGCUAGGCAAUGCGAGGCUCGGUCCAGCUGCGAGCUUCGGUUGGGCCUCCCUUUGGUCGAAUCAGAAGAGGACACGGGGCGACACGGGGCAGUCUCGCAUGCGAGGGAAGGCAACACGUCUUGCCAGGUGGCUCGGUGAAUCAGAAGGUUCCGGAUACGUGGCACAUGCGAAGCGAGGACACAUGGCACUUCCGGGUGAAGCUUAUCUAUGCGAAAUUUCUCGAAUUUUGUGCCAAAAUCUUCUAAAAUUCAUAACUUUCGCAUACGGGCUCCAUUUUUGACGUUCUUUAUAUGCACGCGUAGCUAAAAUUACGCUCUACAACUUCCAUUUAGACUUCGUCGGUUAAUUUUGACUUUAAAUUUUAUAUUAUUAUUUUUAACAGACCGGGACAGGAAAUUCGUUAAAAAUUCAUAACUUCUUCAUCCGACAUCCGUUUUUGUCAGACUUUUUACUGUUGUGCUCCUAAUGACGAGACCUUCAAUUCUAGUUUAGGUUGUGUCGGCUAAAAAUCGCUCGAUCUAAAUUUCGAGUUUUUAGCUGUCUACUGCUAAGAUGAAACUUCGAAAAAUCAUAACUUCCUCAUAUGAAGUCAGAUUUGGGCGUUCUUUUUAUCGAACUUCUCAGUUUGACAAAUACUACGACUUUGUUUUAGAUUACUAAGGCUAAAAAGUAGUUUAUCAAAAACUCACUUUUUACGACAUUCAGCACCAUGUCAGUUUUGUCGCGAAACUUCGACAGGUCAUAACUUCUUCGUUAUAACUUGGAUUUUAGUAUUCUUUAUAUCCUCGAAAUUCUUGUUUCGAGCACUAAAACUUUAUGUAAAGAUAUCAGGCUUAUCUCAUACUUUAAUAUUGACACUUAUUUUAUUCUUAAUUAAAUAAACGCUAAUAAUUAAGCAUAAAACACAUAAUUCACAUAAUAUUCACAUAAUUCCUUUUCAUUUCUUCAAAAUGAGUUACAAAGGUUAACCUAGACUAUCACCUCAAUAUAAAUGCCUAGGCUAGAAACACGAGUGUUACAAUUCUCUCCCCCUUAGGAUGAUUUCGUCCCCGGAAUCACAUAUCACCAAACAACUGCGGGUAGCGACUCAUCAUGUUACUCUCUGUUUCCAAAGUGAGAUUUGGUCCAUUCAUAUGUUUCCAACGCACAAGCACUAAAUCGACCAUCGUGCGUCGCAACUUCAUAGUCUUACGGUUAAUGAUUGCCUCAUGUUCUUCGAUCAACCUCUUAUUUUCAUCUAACCUUAACUCAGAAGUUGGAAUUAUGUCGGGCACAUCUCCCGUGAACUUUCUCAAGUAACACACAUGAAAGGUGUUAUGAAUACCCUCCAGUUCUUCCGGUAACUCUAGCUUGUAAGCUUGAUUCCCGAUCCUCUGAAGAACUUUAAAUGGUCCAAUAAACCUUGGACUCAACUUCCCUCUCUUACCAAAUCUUAUAAGUCCCUUCCACGGCGAGACUUUAAGUAAAACCGAAUCUCCAACAUCGAAGGAUAUCGGUUGUCUUUUCUUGUCAGCAUAACUCUUUUGUCGAUCUUGAGCAGCUAACAUCCUUUCCCUUAUCACUUUCAACUUUUCAGCAGUCUCAUGGACUAUUUCAGGUCCCAUAAACUGCUUUUCCCCAGCUUCCAGCCAACAUGAUGGCGUUCGACACUUUUCCCCAUACAAAGCGUGAUAAGGUGCCAUCUUAAUGCUUGAGUGGAAACUAUUAUUAUAGGAGAAUUCUACUAGAGGUAAGUGUUCAUCCCAGUUACCUUGGAAUUCUAGGGUACAUGCUCUCAGCAUAUCCUCCAAUGUUUGAAUUGUUCGUUUGCUAUGACCAUCGAUUUGUGGAUGAUAAGCUAUACUUAAACACAACUUGGUGCCCAAUUCCUCUUGUAGACUCCUCCAAAACCUUGAGGUAAAAUGGCUGUCACGAUCGGAUACAAUUGUUAGCGGAACACCGUGAAGCCUCACAAGUUCCUUCACGUAAGAAUUCGCAGGUUUAUCCAUAGACCAUUUCUCUUUGGCUGCUAUAAAAUGCAAACUCUUAGUGAAGCGAUCAACGACCACCCAAAUCAUGUCGUGACUGUUCCUUGUUCUGGGCAGUUUAGUCACAAAAUCCAUGGUGACGUCUUCCCAUUUACCCAUGGGUACGGGUAAAGGUUCUAAACUCCCAUACGGUUUCUGAUGUUGUGCCUUAACCCUAGCACAAGUUACACACUCGGCCACAUACUUAGCAACAUCGAGCUUCAUCGUCGGCCACUAAUAAUAGGGUUUUAGAUCCCUAUACAUUUUUGUACUGCCGAGAUGAAUCGAGUACAUGGUCUUGUGAGCUUCUUUCAUCAAAAGAUCUCUUACUCCGCCUGUCUUAGGUACCCAAAUCGUAUCUUGGAAUACCCUCAACCCUUGGUUGUUUGUACUGAAUACUAAAGUUUUGCCCAAGCGUUCUUCCUUUCGGUCAUUUGUCUCUAAAUCUCCCUCUUGAGCUUUCUUUAUACUUUCCACAAUUGUCAAGACAACUUCAAUUCUCAACGCUCUUGGCCUUUUCUUUUCAAGGUUUACCUUCCGACUGAGAGCAUCAGCAACAACAUUUGCUUUACCAGGGUGGUAAAGUAUCUCACAGUCGUAGUCCUUGAGUAACUCUAGCCAGCGUCGUUGCCUCAUGUUCAAUUCCUUCUGAUUAAAGAGAUAUUGGAGACUCUUAUGAUCAGUGAAAAGUUUACACUUUGUGCCAUAAAGAUAAUGCCUCCAUAUCUUUAGGGCGAAUACUACCGCUGCCAACUCCAAAUCGUGAGUGGGGUAGUUCUUUUCAUGCUCCUUCAAUUGCCUCGAUGCAUACGCUAUCACUUUAUCCCUUUGGGUCAGAACACAACCUAACCCAACUCCAGAUGCAUCGCUAUAAACUGCGAAGUCAUCAACUCCUUCAGGCAAUGAAAGAAUCGGUGCUUCACACAAUCUCUUCUUCAACUUCUCAAAGGCUUCCUUAUGCUUCUCAUUCCAAGCAUAAGUGGCUCCUUUGUGGGUCAAAGCUGUUAAUGGAGUAGCAAUCGAAGAAAAGCCUUGGAUAAACCUUCGGUAAUAUCCAGCUAAUCCUAAAAAGCUUCGAAUCUCCGUAGGACUUUUUGGUUGUUCCCACUUCAUUACAGCUUCAAUCUUUGCUGGGUCAACCAUUAUUCCUUCUUGGUUAACCACAUGACCUAAAAAUUGGACUUCUUGAAUCCAAAAUUCACACUUGGAGAACUUUGCAUACAACUUCUCCUUUUUCAGGACUUCUAGCACUUCACGCAGAUGCUUUUCAUGCUCCUGCUUGCUUUUCGAAUAAAUCAAGAUAUCAUCUAUGAAUACUAUCACGGAUUUAUCUAAGAAUGGUUUACAAACCCUAUUCAUCAAAUCCAUGAAAGCUGCUGGGGCAUUGGUUAGUCCGAACGACAUAACCAAAAAUUCAUAGUGUCCAUAUCUUGUUCUAAACGCAGUCUUUUCGAUAUCCUGCUCUCUCACCUUUAGUUGAUGGUAUCCCAACCUAAGAUCGAUCUUCGAGAAAUAGUUCGAACCUUGUAACUGGUCGAACAAGUCAUCGAUCCUUGGCAACGGGUACUUGUUCUUUAUCGUCACUUUGUUUAGCUCUUUGUAAUCGAUGCACAUUCUAAUGCUUCCGUCUUUCUUCUUUACAAAUAACAUAGGGGCUCCCCAGGGCAAUGAACUAGGUCGAAUGAAACCUUUGUCCAAUAACUCCUGAAGUUGUGUCAUAAGUUCUUUCAUUUUUGUUGGUNCUUUCAUUUCGGUUGGCGCUAAUCGAUAAGGUGCUUUCGCUAUCGGCGUCGUUCCUGGUAACAAGUCGAUACGAAAUUCUACUUGUCGAUCAGGGGGCAAUCCGGGAAGAUCUUCGGGAAAGACUUCCGGAUAAUCACACACCACUGGAAUAUUCUGCACCUCCUUCUUUUCCAUCUUAGCAUCGAUCACGAACGCUAGAUAUGAUGUACAUCCCUUGGCCAAACACUUUCUGGCUUUCAUUAGGGAAAUGAUUCCAGAGUUUACUCUGCGUUUGUCUCCGUACACCAUAAACGACUCUUUCCCUGGCGGGUUUACUUUUACUAUCUUCUUUCUACAUAGUAUUUCUGCAUCGUUGGCGCUAAGCCAAUCCAUUCCUAAAACUAUGUCGAAUCCAUUUAACUCGAUAGGCAAUAAUUCCUCUUGGAACUUAUUCCCAUCCAAGUCAAUGAGGAUGUUUUUCAUACGAUGGCUAACAGGUACAAACUUGCCACUAGCAAUCUCGACUAAUAAGGCAUUAACUAGCCUAUCUACGGGAAAAGCUAGCUUUCUACCAAAUUCAUGCGAUAUAAAGGAGUAAUUGGCUCCAGAAUCAAACAAAAUUUGGGCAGGCAAUUCGUUUACGAGAAAGGUACCUGAAGCGACAUCGACUUCUUCUUUUGCAGCUUCAACUGUCAUCUGAAAGGCUCUCGCCUUCGGCUUUGGUGGUAGAUUCGGCUUUGCGGCAUCCUUCCUCUUUGGACAGUCUUUAAGAACAUGCCCUACUUCGUGGCACUCAAAACAUACCCUCUUGUCGGACAGACACUGUAACACCGUAAAUUUCAAAAAUAAUUUUUCGCAUUUUUAUAAUAACAUAAUUCAUUUAAUAUUCAUAAAAACACCCAUGUUUUAAAUACAAUUCAUGUCAUACAAAAAUCCCAAGAUCUCAUAACAUAAAAUCUCGUGUGUGUGUACUGAUCAAGCCAGCGCCUUCCCACGGUCGUCACUAGUACCUGAAACAAAUAACACCAAAACACUGUAAGCACAAAGCUUAGCGAGUUCCCCAAAAUAUCACAUAUAACACAUAUUAGCCACUCGAGGCUAUAACUCUAUGGGUCGUACCCCGAAACUCUGUGAACCCUCAGGUUAUAACUCUGUAGACAUGCACAACAUAAAUCACAUAGAAUAAUGCAGCGCAACACAUAACACACGCAUAGCAUACAAGCAUUGUAUCACAUAACUCUAGUUGCCUACUCAAGGUAAAGUAUAGUGAGAAGACCCACCUCGUGUAUCUCGAUAACCCGCAAAUCCCUAAAAUCACUUGUGCUCGUUCCUCCGCACUAUAAUCUUCCUAUAAUACAAGACUAAUCCUAUCAAGUCAACAUUGGUCAACUCUAAUCAACGGUCAACUUUGACCGGACUCGACGAGUGCACCAAAGCAACUUGGCGAGUCUAACGCAUUCACUGACUCCCUCGGAUCUUUCUUGGCACGUCAAGCACUCCCCUAACUCGACGAGUUUCCACCUGGCUUGAAUCGCACGAUAACCACGACUCAACUCGCCGAGUCUCAAGAACAACUCGGCGAGUUCUGGCUUGACUCAACCCUAUAUUAACUCUUCCUGACUCACUGGGUUAUCCCCCAACCCGACGAGUCCACUCACUGAACAUAUUACAUGAAACCCCAACCCUACUCUUCGAGUCCCAAGAACAACUCGGCGAGUUCAUGCCAUGCACACACUUUUAUUGACCUUCUGAGGUCAGAUCUGCUUUCCCAAACCCUAGAUCUAUCCUUCCCAAGCAUGAAUGUCACGUAAAGUUCGAAGCUUGAUGCUUGUUUAACCCCCACAAGGCAUCAAAAGGAUAUUUUGUCCCAAAAAUAACCACCUAGGUCCAAAGACUCCAUAAUCACCCAAAAAGCUCCAAUGGUUAAGGUCUCUGGACCUCUUUGAGUCCAGAUCCAAGGCACAAACUCGAAAAAGGACUAUUUGCUUCACAUAAUCACUCUGCAAAAGGGGUAUAAAACCCUAACUCUAAAGAUCAUCCCUAUAACUGAAGGAGAUUCGAACCCUUACCUCAAAAUGAAGCCUCUGGAAUACAAAGGCCCAAAAGUGACUUCCUCUUGCCACCCUCCUCUUGCUAAAGAAGGAAUACAAAGGCCCAAAAGUGACUUCCUCUUUCCCAAAAUGAACUAGCUCUCUUAGGGUUCUCUCAAGGGACUAGUAGCCGCAAAUAGGAGGCUAUAAGUGCCUUUAAAUAGGCUCCAAACCCGGGGAAUUAGGGUUUCAUUAAACAGCGUCAACUCGCUGAGUCCAGACGCGAAUCCUUGCCCAAAUCGCGAUCCUACUCGACGAGUUUGAGCUCCAACUCGCCGAGUCUCCUCACAAAAUACUAAAAAUAUAAAAAUGAAUAAUACCUGGGAAUCCGGGCUGUUACAAUUCUCCCCCACUAGAACUAGACUUCGCCCUCGAAGUCUCGCUCUGCAAAUAGCUCCGGAUGCUGCUCGCGCAUCUCACCCUCCGGCUCCCAAGUCAUAUCGGAUCCCUUCCGAUGCUGCCACUGGACCAAAACCAAGGGUACCUCCUUGUUCCUCAGAACCUUGAUUUUCCGAUCUUUGAUUGCCACUGGUCUCUCAGCAUAAUUCAGGCUCGCAUCCACCUGAAUAUCCUCUAAUGGAACCACUACCGACUCGUCGGCUAUACAUUUCCGCAAUUGCGAAACAUGGAAAGUGUCGUGAAUCUGCCCCAACUCUGCUGGCAAUUCCAAUCGAUAGGUUACCCUGCCUAUCCUCGCGAUCACCCGAAAUGCACCAAUAUAUCGGGGCCCCAACUUGCCCCUCUUCCUGAAUCGAAUCACUCCUUUCCAAGGAGAGACCUUCAGGAGCACAAAGUCGCCGACUUGAAACUCAAGCGCAGACCGGCGUCUGUCCGCAUAGCUCUUCUGUCGACUCUGAGCGGUCAAUAACCUCUGUCUAACCUGCUGGAUCUGCUCUGUUGUCUGAAGUAUGAUCUCAGUGUUGCCCAUAACAUGCUGUCCGACUUCUCCCCAGCAAAUGGGCGUCCGACACCUCCUCCCAUACAACAGCUCAAAGGGUGGCAUACCAAUGCUCGAAUGAUGGUUGUUGUUGUAAGAAAACUCUGCUAAGGGCAAGUACGUAUCCCAACUUCCCCCGAAAUCCAAUACACAUUCCCGGAGCAUGUCCUCGAGUGUCUGAAUCGUCCGCUCACUCUGUGCUUCUGUCUGGGGGUGAUAUGCGGUACUAAAAUGCAGCCUAGUACCCAGCUCCUCAUGAAACUUCUUCCAUAAUCUGGAAGUGAAACGUACAUCUCGGUCUGAGACAAUCGAGAUCGGCACCCCAUGCCGAGAUACCACUUCCCUCACGUACAUCUCUGCUAACUUUUCUGCGGAGGAGCUCUCACUAAUAGCAAGGAAGUGAGCGCUCUUCGUCAAUCUGUCCACAAUCACCCAAAUUGCAUCAACUCCCCUCGCAGUCCUUGGCAACUUGGUGAUAAAAUCCAUGGUAAUCUGUUCCCACUUCCAUUCGGGAACCUCCAACGACUGCAACCUACCAUGCGGUCUCUGGUGCUCGGCCUUAACCCUNUCCAACGGCUGCAACUUACCGUGCGGUCUCUGGUGCUCGGCCUUAACCCUACAACAGGUUAAGCACCUCUCAGCAAACCACGUAACAUCCCUCUUCAUACAGGGCCACCAAUAUUACUUUCUCAGGUCCAAAUACAUCUUAGUGGCCCCAGGAUGGAUCGAUAAUUUCGACCGAUGAGCCUCUUCCAUCAAGAUGGUAUGUGUCCCUCCCACAAACGGUACCCAAAUCCGCCCCUGAAAUGUCAUAAGUCCCCGACCAUCGGUAACAAACUCCGAUACUAAUCCUACAACUUGCUCUUUCUUCUGGUUCUCUGAUCUCGCUGCCUCAGCCUGUGCUCCACGAAUGUUGUCCAACACCGGAGCCAUCACGGUCAAACGCAAACAGACACCUCACAACGGGGCGCUCUUCGCCCUGCGACUCAGGGCGUCGGCUACCACAUUAGCCUUGCCCGGAUGGUACAGGAUCCCAACUUCCCCCGAAAUCCAAUACACAUCCCCGGAGCAUGUCCUCAAGUGUCUGAAUCGUCCACUCACUCUGUCCGUCUGUCUGGGGGUGAUAUGCGGUACUAAAAUGCAGCCUAGUACCCAGCUCCUCAUGAAACUUCUUCCAGAAUCUGGAAGUGAAACGUACAUCCCGGGCUGAGACAAUCGAGAUUGGCACCCCAUUCCGAGAUACCACUUCCCUGACGUACAUCUCUGCUAACGUUUCUGCGGAGGAGCUCUCACUAAUAGCAAGGAAGUGAGCGCUCUUCGUCAAUCUGUCUACAAUCACCCAAAUUGCAUCGACUCCCCUCGCAGUCCUUGGCAACUUGGUGACAAAAUCCAUGGUAAUCUGUUCCCACUUCCAUUCGGGAUCCUCCAACGGCUGCAACCUACCAUGCGGUCUCUGGUGCUCGGCCUUAACCCUACGACAUGUUAAGCACCUCUCAACAAACCACGCAACAUCCCUCUUCAUACAGGGCCACCAAUACUCCUUCCUCAGAUCCAAAUACAUCUUAGUGGCCCCGGGAUGGAUCGAUAAUUUCGACCGAUAAGCCUCUUCCAUUAAGAUGGUACGUGUCCCUCCCACAAACGGUACCCAAAUCCGCCCCUGAAAUGUCAUAAGUCCCCGACCAUCGCUAACAAACUCCGAUACUAAUCCUACAACUCGCUCUUUCUUCUGGUUCUCUAAUCUUGCUGCCUCAGCCUGUGCUCCACGAAUGGUGUCCAACACCAGAGCCAUCACUGUCAAACGCAAACAGACACCUCGCAACGGGGCGCUCUUCGCCCUGCGACUCAAGGCGUCGGCUACCACAUUAGCCUUGCCCGGAUGGUACAGGAUCUCACAAUCAUAAUCCUUAACCACAUCUAACCACCUCCUCUGCCGCAUAUUUAGGUUGGGCUGAUACAUCAAAUACUUCAGACUCUUAUGGUCCGCCUAUAUUGUACAUCGAACCCCAUACAGAUAGUGAUGCCAAAUCUUGAGAGCAAACACCACUGCCCCUAACUCUAGGUCAUGGGUGAGAUACCUAAUCUCAUGUGGCUUCAGCUGCCUCGAUGCGUAUGCUAUUACAUGCCCUCUCUGCAUCAGCACCGCUCCCAUCCCCAGGAUCGAUGCAUCACAGUAUACCACAAAGUCCUCCAUUCCCUCCGGGAGGGCUAACACCGGGGCCUCGCAUAACCUUUGGCGAAGCGUCUCAAAGGAGGCCUGCUGCUCGAGGCCCCAUGAAAAAGCUACACCCUUCCGGGUCAAUCUGGUGAGUGGUACUGCGAUCUUAGAGAAAUCCUUGAUAAAUCUACGACAAUAACCGGCCAACCCUAGAAAACUCCUGAUCUCGGAGGGUGACCUCGGCACCUCCCAUCUCAUCACUGCCUCAACUUUGUCCGGGUCGACCAAUAUCCCUUUCUGGUUAACGAGAUGUCCCAGGAACUGGACCUCUCGCAACCAGAAAUCACACUUGGAGAAUUUGGCAUAAAGCCUCUCCAAUCUCAGAACUCCGAGGAUCUCCCUCAAAUGCUCCUCAUGCUGCUCCCUAGAUCUCGAAUAUACCAAGAUGUCAUCGAUGAAUACAAUCACUGACCGAUCCAGCAUCAGCCUACACACUCUGUUCAUGAGAUCCAUGAACACUGUCGGGGCAUUGGUGAGCCCGAAAGUCAUCACCACAAACUCGUAAUGCCCAUAACGUGUCCUGAAUGUUGUCUUCUGGAUGUCCUCAUCUCGCACCCUCACCUAAUGGUAUCCAGACCUCAAAUCGAUCUUGGAGACCCAAGAUGCUCCCUAUAACUGAUCGAACAAAUCGUCGAUCCUCGGCAACGGGUCACGGUUCUUGACCGUCAGGUUUUUCAANACGAUAAUCAAUGCACAUCCGGUGUGAACCAUCCUUUUUCUUGACAAAAAGGAUAGGCGCUCCCCACGGUGAGCUGCUCGGCCGAAUAAACCCCUUUCCCAACAGCUCCUGAAGCUGUGAGGACAACUCUUGCAUCUCUGAAGGUACAAGGUGAUAAGGCACCUUGACAAUAGGCGCGGCUCCCGGAACCAAGUCGAUACUGAACUCCACUUGCCUCUCAGGAGGCACACCCGACAACUCCUCAGGAAAGACAUAUGGGGACUCACGCACUAUCAGAACCUCAUCCACUGACCUCGGUCUCUCGGAAUUAACCCGCGUAUCCAUAACGUAUGCCACAAAACCCUUACAGCCCUGUUGUAGACACUGCGUCACCCUAGCUGCUGAACAAAACCCCGAUCUAGAACGUGUACCCUCGCCGUACACCGUAAGAACUCCCCCACUAGGGUCUCGUAUGGUCACCAGUUGUCGCUUGCAGUUGAUAACCGCACCGAAUUUGCUCAACCUGUCCAUGCCCACAAUGACACAGACAUCACCCAUCGCAAUAGGAACCAAAUCAAUCAGGAACUCAACACCGAAAAUCUCGAGUAUGCACCCGCAGAUCACCUCUGUGGCAUAUAUCACCCUCUCUUCAGUUAUGGAAACUCUCAGAGGCCGACUCAGCGCUGCGCGACUAGCACUAAUAUGCUGACUAAAAGCCAAAGAUACAAAAGACCGACUCGCACCUGAGUCAAAUAACACCAAGGCAGGUACAGAAUUCACAAGAAAAGUACCUACACAUAACAUAAUAUAAGCAUAAUAUCUCAAUUAUCAAAAUAAAUACACGAAAGAAUACAUACCAGCCACGACAUUGGGCGCUGCGCGGACCUCCUCCGCGGUUAACUGAAAGACUCUCCCUCGUGCCCUCGGUGCCUCGGCCUUCACUGGCCUACUAUCGGUAGCUCUGAUGGUGGCAGGGGCAGAUCCCUGAGGUGCUCCCUGAGAUGAUCCUCGCAAUUACGGACACUCUGCCUUNGCAGUCCUUGGCCAUAUGCCCCUCCUUGCCACAUUUUUAGCAAGAUCCAGCUCUACAUACUCCAUCAUGACCCUUGCCGCACUUUCCACAAGUGCGGCCCUUCUGGCUCCCAGAUUUAGGAUCAGCGGGCUUGGCCCGCUAGUCGCCGAUCCCUCACCUGAGACUCCGCCUCCUCCCUGGCCUGAGUCUCUAGCUCAAUCUCCCUCUUCCGGGAAUUUUCCUGAAGCUCGGCAAAUGUUCGGUACGAGGAGUUCGCCACGAACUCCUGAAUGUCUCGCCUCAAAAUACUCAAAUAUCGGCUCAUGCGUGCCUGCUCUGUGGACACGUGCUCAGGGCAGAACAUCGCCCUCUCGUGGAACAUCCUGGUAAUCACUGUAACAGACUCAGUACCCUGCUUGAGGGUUAGAAACUCUUGGGCCAAAUGCUCCCUCUCCACCUGGGGAACAUACUCAUCUCAGAACAUGGCAGUGAACCUUUCCCAGGUCACUGCUGCAAGCUCAGCAGGUGAAAAGUGCACUGUCACAAACUUCCACCAGUCCUUCGCUCCCAAGCGAAGCUGGUUCAGCGCGAACCGGACUCUCAAAUGCUCAGGAGAUGAGCAAGUGAAGAAACACCCAUCCAUGUCUAAAAUCCACCUCAUAGCCGCCACUGGGUCCUGGGUCCCAUCAAACUCUGGCGGUUUCGUGUUGCUGAACUCCCAGAAUAGCAACGCAUCACCACCCUGUGGCCUCGCAGCAGCAACAGCUGAAGUGGCCGCCGCAACAACAGCCUCAGAAAGAGCAGCAUAACACUCAUCGAAAGUCUCAAUCAGCAUGGUCUUAAUAGACCCGAACAUCUUUGGUAUCUCUGCCUUGAUGGCCGCAGGCACCUCCUCGUGGAUGAUCCGGCGGAUCUGCUCAUCACUAGCCCCACUGCUCUCUGGCAUAAGACGUGACCUCACCAUGAUCUACCUUUGAAAUACAACAUCCAUUCGAGCAUACUCACACUCGAUAACUCUUCCCUCCUUGAUCCUUGGCAUUCCGAAGGUUCUUACUUGAACUGUACACCGCCCCAGUGCUUUCAGUAGUACGGGCCCAAUACUACUGUCCACACCGUUUCAGUAUACACCCCAAAUCCUCCUCGUCGGAUCCCAAAUUCCAAGUACUCUAUCACUCUCUAACAUAUCUCUAAUAAGCUCCUCGCUGCUACCUAUUCACUCUCAAGCAUCUCAUAACAGCUCACCUCUCCCUAGGCUAAGGCAUCACAAAUCAGGGCACUCUAGUCCUAAUAGGAAUACCUAGCCUACUCUAGCAAGAGAAUACAUCAUAUCAAUCUCAUAAACAUAUAAUAUAAGGGUAUUUUGGGAAUUCACCGUUCGGGCGCUGACUGAUCGUACAGACGUUUCUACUCUGGGUUUCUCUAAAAUCUUAUACUUCUUUUAGAAAAUUUGGUUCUCUUUUGAAAAUAUUUUCCAAAUCCUCAGUUUGAGUUCAAAUACUCCCGAAGGUGUACCCGAAUCCCUCAAACCAAGGCUCUGAUACCAACUUGUAACACCGUAAAUUUCAAAAAUAAUUUUUUGCAUUUUUAUAAAAACAUAAUUCAUUUAAUAUUCAUAAAAACACCCAUGUUUGAAAUACAAUUCAUGUCAUACAAAAAUCCCAAGAUCUCAUAACAUAGAAUCCCGUGUGUGUGUACUGAUCAAGUCGGCACCUUCCCACGGUCGUCACUGGUACCUGAAACAAAUAACACCAAAACACUGUAAGCACAAAGCUUAGUGAGUUCCCCAAAAUACCACAUAUAACACAUAUUAGCCACUCGAGGCUAUAACUCUAUGGGUCCGUGCACCCGAACUCUAUGAACCCUCAGGUUCUAACUCUGUAAACAUGCACAACAUAAAUCACAUAGAAUAAUGCAGUGUAACACAUAACACAAGCAUAGUAUACAAGCACUGUAUCACAUAACUCUAGUUACCUACUCAAGGUAAAGUAUAGUGAGAAGACUCACCUCGUGUAUCUCGAUAACUCGCAAAUCCCUAGAAUCACUUGUGCUCGUUCCUCCGCACUAUAAUCUUCCUAUAAUACAAUAUAUCUCUAAUUAACACUUUUACAACAAAAGGUUGACUAAUCGUAUCAAGUCAACAUUGGUCAACUCUGGUCAACGGUCAACUUUUACCGGACUCGACGAGUGCACCAAAGCAACUUGGCGAGUCUAACGCAUUCACUGACUCCCUCGGAUCUUUCUUGGCACGUCAAGCACUCCCCUAACUCGACGAGUUUCCACCUGGCUUGAAUCGCACGACAACCACGACUCAACUUGCCGAAUCUCAAGAACAACUCGACAAGUUCCGGCUUGACUCAACCCCAUAUUAACUCUUCAUGACCCACUGGGUUAUCCCCUAACCCAACGAGUCCACUCACUGAACAUAUUACGUGAAACCCCAACCCUACUCUCCGAGUCCCAAGAACAACUCGGCGAGUUCAUGCCAUGCACACACUUUUAUUGACCUUCUGAGGUCAGAUCUGCUUUCCCAAACCCUAGAUCUAUCCUUCCCAAGCAUGAAUGUCACGUAAAGUUCGAAGCUUGAUGCUUGUUUAACCCCCACAAGGCAUCAAAAGGAUAUUUUGUCCCAAAAAUAACCACCUAGGUCCAAAGACUCCAUAAUCACCCAAAAAGCUCCAAUGGUUAAGGUCUCUGGACCUCUUUGAGUCCAGAUCCAAGGCACAAACUCGAAGAGGGACUAUUUGCUUCACAUAAUCACUCUCCAAAAGGGGUAUAAAACCAUAACUCUAAAGAUCAUCCCUAUAACUGAAGGAGAUUCAAACCCUUACCUCAAAAUGAAGCCUCUGGACUUUGGAUUUUCUGUAAUCUCACCUCCUCCUUGCUCUUGCCACCUUCCUCUUGCUAAACAAGGAAUACAAAGGCCCAAAAGUGACUUCCUCUUUCCCAAAACAAACUAGCUCUCUUAGGGUUCUCUCAAGGGACUAGUAGCCAUAAAUGGGAGGAUAUAAGUGCCUUUAAAUAGGCUCCAAAACCGGGGAAUUAGGGUUUCAUUAAACAGCAUGGACUCGCCGAGUCCAGAUGCGAAUCCUUGCCCAAAUCGCGAUCCUACUCGGCGAGUUUGAGCUCUAACUCGCCGAGUCUCCUCACAAAAUACUAAAAAUAUAAAAAUGAAUAAUACCUGGGAAUCUGCGUUGUUACAGACACAUGUUGGCAUAAUGCCCAGCCUUUCCACAAUUGAAGCAAGUCACCUCCUCACCAUAUCUCCCAGAGUGAUUUUUCUUGCACUUCUCACAACAUUUCACUUCACCUCCUCCUCCUCCAAACUUCUUGGACUUAGAACAUUUGCUUUUCUUGUUGGAACCUGAAGUUCCUUCAAAUUUUCUCUUUUCACCAACUUCUGGCCUCUCCAGACCCUUUUCUCCGAUCUGAACCUCGAUAUUCUUAGCAGCCAAGAUGGCGGCUUUCAAAGUGGUUGCUUGCUUAACCAUCGGACCAAAGUCUGCUGGUAAUCCGACGACAAACUUGUUGACCUUAGAGAGUUUAGUUGAAACUAGAUGAGGAACAAGCUUCAUCUUUUCCAUAAAACUAGUAGUAUAUUCAGUAACGCUCAUAUUUCCUUUCUUUAAAUUCUGGAACUCAUUGUUGAUUUCCAGAAGAUCCUGCUUAGAGCAGUACUGCAAUUUCAAUUGUACCACAAAAUCUUCCCAAGACAUCUUACUAGCCUCACCCUUGGGCAUCGAAUCAGCUAGUAACUUCCACCAGCUCAACACACCAGACUUUAACAGAGGGAUUGCAAGUGCGGUCUUUUGUUUGUUGCUGCACUCGCAACUUUCAAACAUCGUCUCCAUUUCGGAGAUCCAAUUCAUGACUUCCACCGGUGUCGGACUCCCAGAUAGACACGACGGUUUAGAUGCCAUGAAAUCUUUGUAUUUGCAUCCGCGUCCAUCAACUCCUCCAUCCUGGUUGUUUUGUCUAACUAUCGGUGGGUUGGCUUGACCAAGAGUCCCACUGUAGUUCCCUCCUACUGAUUGCCCUUCAUUCAAUACGGGCUGUUCAACAGGCAUCGUGGUCUCUUCCCUAUGCUGUUGUAGUAAUCGCCUUGUCUCCUCCAUUUGGAGAUCUAACAUCAUCUGUAUCAUUGCUUGUAUCCCAGCCAUCGUCAUUGGCUCAGGUGCAGCUCCUACAACAGGUACUUGCUCAACUACUUGAGGUUGAGGCUGUUGAUCCCUGUUUCCAUUUGCAUUUGCAGCUCCACUACGAGUUCUGGCCAUUACAAUCUAUAUAACGAAUAAGGCGAAUUUAGGUCUUUAUCCUUGUUAGACAUGUCAAUUCCCUUAUCACUACGAAACGUUUACAUGUAAGUUCUAAUCUCAUAAUCGUACUCUUAGAAUCCUACACACAUAAGGUUUCCAGAUCCGGUCGACAACAGACCAUAGAUCCGAACAAAUAAUGGCACACAUGGCAAACACAUAGCAUAUAUCACAUAAGGGCAAUUUAGGCAUCUUCCCUAACAUAAACUAGUGCUUGUGUCUAAAAUAUGGUAGACACUCAUCUCACAGUCAUCACUUAGCAUUCUAAGUUCAAGUCUAGAAAUUCUACAAUUUCUUAGUUCGCUUAAACUAAUGCUCUGAUACCAACUGUGACAUCCCCUAAUUUCUCGGCCAGAAAAGACCGAUUUAAUUUAUGCUUUUUAAAAUAAAAUCAGAGAAAUCUUUUUAAAAGAUGUUGCGGAAUUGGUCCCCAAACAAAAUAUGAUAAAAGUUUAUCAAAACCCUUCAUUAAGAAGGUAUAUGUUUUCCAUAUAUAUAUCAAAACCUCGGGAUGUCAUGUUCCGAUACAGAUCAAAAGCAUAAACAAGACAUUAUAAGCCUUUCAACAGUUAUUUACAACUACUGGCCUAUAAUCCAAAAAUCUCUCGUUGUCCUCCGACUAUGCUCGGGGUCCACUACCUGUAACAUAAAAAGCUGAGUGGGUCAGGCUUGGGAGCCUGGUGAGCAUAUAGGGUUUUCAACCCACAAUAAUAAUAAACUUACUAAGUUCAUCAAUCAACAAUAACCCUGAUUACCCGUUCCCGUUAUCCUCACUUUAUGUCCCUAAACACUUAUCACAAGGGACCUAGCCUAAAGAAUAUCAUCGGGAUGGACACUACUGCUAAGGGGUUUCCUCAGCCAUACAUGUCCUAAAGGCAACCAUGAGGGGGAUGGAGUACAGCGAAUGAACACUCUCAGUUCAUUAACACCUACAGGUUGCAGACCUGCUAAUGUUUCCCAUUGGACUGUCUAGAAAGUCCGUGGUUGUCAUCCAAACUCCGCUAGAUGACUGGAUCUCAAAACAUAUCGAGGCCUCUCAUCAAUUUUAUUUUAUCACACAUCACUAUCUACCCAUGUUCUACCCAACAUAUUUGUAGAUAAAAAUACUUAUAUAGUUUAAAACUUGUAUAAAACAUCAACUCAACAGUUACCUCAAAUAAACAAUUAAUAUAUCUACACAUAACACGUAUUAUAAGGUAAAUACUUCAUAUCUAUGUGUAAAAUGAAAGUGACUAUACACUCACUUGGUUUGAUGAUAAUCGGGCAGCAAUUCGUUUCCUAAAACGAUCGUUUCUAAUAAAACCGGGAGUUUUAUUGAGAAACCGGGCUUUGCAAAAGUCAGGCUUCGAAACCGAAAAGAUAAAUUUUCCGGGCUUCUCGGGCACUUCGUGGAGUAUUCCGGGCUUUACAAUCGAUACCGUGGCUUUGCGAGAUGUUAAGAUGAAGAAAAUAUUAUUUUUGGGGUUAAAAUUGACAAAUUUUCAAAGUUACCCGGGAGGUCUCGCACCCUUCUAUUUAUAGGGGCGAGGCUUCUGAUCGGACGGUCAGGAAGAAGACACGCGUCGCAGAUCCAAGGGUUCGCAGGGAAGGCUCGUACAAGGGUAGCAUGUGCGAAGGGCUCGGUGUGGGCCUCUGAUUGGACUGCGGUCUACUGGUCCACAUGCGAGGUUCGGAGGCUAGGCGGUGCGAGGCUCGGUCCAGCUGCGAGCUUCGGAUUGGGCAUCCCUUUGGUCGAAUCAGAAGAGGACACAGGGCGACACGGGGCAGUCUCGCAUGCGAGGGAAGGCAACACGUCUUUCCAGGUGGCUCGGUGACACAUCAGGUUCCAGAUACGUGGCACAUGCGAUGCGAGGACACGUGGCACUUCCGGGUUAAGCUUAUCUAUGCGAAAUUUCUCGAAUUUUGUGCCAAAAUCUUCUAAAAUUCAUAACUUUCGCAUACGGGCUCCAUUUUUGACGUUCUUUAUAUGCACGCGUAGCUAAAAUUACGCUCUACAGCUUCUAUUUAGACUUCGUUGGCUAAUUUUGACUUAAAAUUUUGAUAUUCUUAUUUUUAACAGACCGGGACAGGAAAUCCGUUAAAAAUUCAUAACUUCUUCAUCCGACAUCCGUUUUUGUCAGACUUUUUACCGUUGUGCUCCUGCUCCUAAUGAAGAGACCUUCAAUUCUCAUUUAGGUUGUGCUGGCUAAAAAUCGUUGAUCUAAAAUUCAAGUUUUUAGCUGUCUACUGCUUAGCUGAAACUUCGAAAAAUCAUAACUUCCUCAUACGAAGUCAGAUUUGGGCGUUCUUUUUAUCGAACUUCUAGGUUUGACAAAUACUACGACUUUUGUUUAGAUUACUAAGGCUAAAAAGUAGUUUAUCAAAAACUCACUUUUUACGACAUUCAACACCGUGUCGGUUUUGUCGCGAAACUUCGACAGGUCAUAACUUCUUCGUUAUAACUCGGAUUUUGGUAUUCUUUAUAUCCCCGAAAUCCUUGUUUCGAGCACUACAACUUUAUGUAAAGAUAUCAGGAUUAUCUCAUACUUUAAUUUUGACGCUUAUUUUAUUCUUAAUUAAAUAAAUGUUAAUAAUUAAGCAUAAAACACCUAAUUAACAUAAUAUUCACAUAAUUCCUUUUCAUUUCUUCAAAAUGAGUUACAAAGGUUAACCUAGACUAUCACCUCAAUAUAAAUUCCUAGGCUAGAAAGAUGAGUGUUACAGGAUUCAUCCAACAUUUCAAGUGUUCUAGGCUCCAAUUUCUCACCCCACCUCUUCAACCACACUUUCUCCUACCCAAGGUGAGCUUCAAAUCCCUCUUUUGAGUUUCAUUGUUUUUGGGGGAUGAUACAAGUCAAGGGUCUUGUGAAAUCAUUGCAUAUUUGCUUGUCUAUAAUUGUAUGUUGUGAUGUAUGUGUGUUAAUAUCAUGAAACUCCUUAUAGAAGUCCACAAUUCGAGAUUUUACAACAUCUAUGAACUUCUCUUGAUGAUUUAGUAUACGAGACCAUGAAUCAAAAACACUAACAUGCAAAUGGGGGUUUUUAUAAAGACUUUCAUAAUUAGCUCUAAAACCAAUAAUAUCUGUUUCCAUAAGCAAUACAAUAUCACUGUAUAUAUUUAUUUCAAUGUUAUUUAAAAUAAAAAGUUAUAAUUAUAAUUAUAAAAAUAAAAAAUUAUAUUAAAUAAUUACCCUGGAUUUCCUUGAAGAUUGAGAAGCCAUUCACAAACAACAUUUUCUACUUGUGUCAAACUAGGUUUAAAAUCUAUUAACCUUUCCUUAAAUGUUGACUUAUAAACAUAAGAAAUCUUCAUUUGUUUCUUUCCUUUGACAUCCACUACUGAUGUUGCUUCUUCAUUUAUAUCUUUAGGUUUGCCUGAAACAAGUUUUGAUGGUCCUUCUAAUGUACCCAAAGGGGGUGCAAAAGAAACUGGACUAGCAUCAAUAACAUCAACAUUUGGAAUAAUACACUCUAGACCAGCACUUGGUGUGCUUUUCCCAAAAUAACUAUAUCCUUAAUCUUUUUCUUUGUCAUCUGUUCAGAAGAAAUUUGAGUUUGAGAUGACUUCUUGGAACCUUCAGAAUCUUCACUAAAUCCAAGACUAAAACUUGGAACAAUAUCAUUUUUCAAUGAUCGAGUCUCAUUUGAAUCCUUCUUUUUAUUUGAACAAUCUUCAACAUUUUCUACCCAAUAAAAUUAUAAAAAUCAUAUGUGAAUAAACAAUAAUUAUAAACACAAUUAUAUAUAAAUAAAAAAUAAUUAUAAACAAAUUACCUCCAUCUUUAUUUUUAUUUGAACAAUCUUCAACAUCUCCACCUUCUCCAUCCUUCUUUACUACAAUAACUGUAUCAACAGUAUGAUCUGAAAUUAUUUUAUUCUUAUGAUCAUCCUCACCCAAAUUUACAGUCGCUAAAUUAUUAAAAUCAUAAAUGAAUCAUGUAUAUAACACAUACACACACACACACACACAUAUAUAUAUAUAAUGUAUUAAAAAUACAUAAAUAAAUACUUACCAUCAUCAACAUCAGUCAAAUUUAAAUUCACAUCAUCUUCAACUAGUUUCUGAUUUAGACAACCAUUAGUACCUAUAAAAUUCAAAUAUAAAAAAUUAAAACAUAGAUGAUUAAACUAUAUAUAUAAUAAUAAAAUAUGCCUACCUUAAUCCAAAGUUUUAAGAAAACUUUCAACAACUGGAUCGCUAAUAAAUUGACUAAAAGAUUCACCUUCUUGGCUAUCAAUUAGACCCACACUCUUAGUAACAUUUUCGACAACAGAAUUUAAAUUCAUGGCCUCUUCGUUAUUACAUCCACUUCCAUUUCCUUGUUCAUCAUCUUCAUCAUCAUCACCUUUACCUUCAACAUGAUUUUUACGAAUAUUUCCCUCAUGUGAACCACUUCCAUUCCCCUGACCACUAAAACAUUUCCCUUGAUCAUAAUCUUCAACAUUUUCAUCAUCAUUAAGAAAAUCAUUCCCAUAAUCUUCAUCAUUAACUUGAACAAAACCAGGUGUUAAUAUCGGUUCUUUCUAUUUUUGUGAAACAUAAUGGAAAACAAAACUUUUUGUGCUUAAAUCUUCAACAAGAAAUAAUAAUUUCGAAUUUUUCAAAUUUUGACUUUGAGGAAACUUCAACACUCCCUCAACUAUCUUUACAACAAAAUCCUUUUUCAAAUCCUCCAUCUUCUGAUACAUAUAUGAAAUUUUACUUUCAUACACCUACAUAAGAAUAAAGAUACUUACAACUAAAAUACUUAAACAUAAAAAGUCAUAAAUGAAUAAACUAAUUAAAUCAUAAAUGAAUAAAACUAUAGAAUUACCUCCACAUCACUAACUUUAUUAACUUCAAAAUCUUCUUCAUCCUCAUCACAUAAAUCCUCUUUGCCGUCAGAUUCAACCUCAUCACCACCAGAUUCCUCCUCAUUAUACUCAAAUUCUUGAAAUUCUUCUUCAACAUAUGCUUCAUUAACAUGUUCACAUCCAAAUCCUCCACUCUCUUCAAAAAUAUCUUCAAGAAACCUUAUCUUCUCUGACAUCCAAUUAAGAAAACAGUUGGACGUUUAUGUGUGAUUUGCAAAUGAUCAAACUUGAAAGUAUCCACAUACAACAACUGCAAAAACAUAUAUAUCAUCAUAACAUAUAUAACAUCAUAUACGAUUUUGAUGUGUAAUAUAUAAUUAAACAAAAAUUAUACAACAUAAUCAUAUGUAGUAAAAUCAUAUAUGAUUUAUUACAAAAACAAACAUAUUUUUACAACUAAAAAGAAUAAUUAAUAUCAAAAAAUAGCUCACGUACCAUAAGGUAUGUUGUUGUUCCAUAAAAGAAAGAAGAUUAUUUCUCUGGAUUGUAAACCUUCUUCAUCCUUACAAAAUAAUCCACAAUGUAAUCGCACCAGUCAAUGCUACUUAAAUCAGUAUCUCUUCUGAUUAAAUACAAUGGAUUCAGAUUACAUUUACCCAUGCUUGUAGACUCACCGAAAGUAUUAAUAAAAAGAACCAAAAAAUUGAUUAUGUAGUUGUCAUCUGUAGCCCUAGUUUGAACAAGUUGAUUCUUUAGUUGUUUCAAUCUCAAUUUAUCAAUAUUCUCAUAUUGUUUCUUCCACUCAAACACACAACUCUCUUCAUUAUUCUCCGAAAUGUAAUCCAUGUUUGAAAGUAAUGAGCCACCAGAUGGUAAUCCUAGCAUCUCUUGAAUAGACUUACUAUCAACACUAUCUUCACAAUUAUCAAACUCCACCUUCAAAGAUUCAAAAUUAAAACGGUCAAGAACAUAAUAAACAAUCUUCAACGGUACGUCAAUCAUCUCCAUACCUAAGAUACUCCCAAUCCCAUAGCCCUAACACAAUCCUUCUGCUCUCUAUUUAAACCUUGAAUAACACCCAACAAUGACCCGGGUGAACAUCUAUUCUUUAGUGAAGGAAAUUCUUUUAUAACAGCAACUUUUUUUUAUCUUUCUUCAAAACUUUAGUUUCUCUCUUUGGUUUCUUUGAAGAUCCAGGACGACUCUGAAAAUCUAAAUCAUCUUUAUCGGAUAGUUCACGUUUCUUACUUACAGGUUUGACCUUAACCCCCAGUUCACUUUUAGUUGUUCAAUAACUGUUUUUUUGGAUGUCUUUGAACGUGUUUGCAACACCUCAUUCGCUUUUUCUCUUUUGGAAGAUGAUCGUGUCUUCCUUGAGCUAUCCACAUUCCCUUUUUAACUACAAUUUUCAUUACAAACAUAGUGUUAUUAAAAAAUAAAACAUAUAUUUAUCAUUACUAUUCACUAAUGAUUAUAAACAGACAUAUAAAAUCAUUUAUGAUUAGAACAAUAAAUAAAAAUACAACUAAAUGUUAUAUACAAUCCACUUAAAAUAACCACAAAAUCAGUUAUGAUUACAAAAAUAACUAUAUAUUCAUGUUUGAUACAUAAAAAUACAUUUAUCAUUACUAUUUAACAAUGGUUAUAAACAAACGUAUAAAAUCAUCUAUAAUUAGAAACAAAAAUAAACAUAUAACUAAAUGUUAUGUUCAGGACACUAGAAAAAUCAAAAAAUAAGUUAUGAUUACAACAAAUAACUUCCAACAUUAAGUUACAUGUUUAUUUAUACUUCUAAUCAUAGUUGAUUUUUUUUGAACUGUACCUUCGGAAAUAACACGACUUCUACCGCAUUCGAUAUUUUUUUGAUUUUUGAAUUUUUUUCGAACAUAGUUUCUCUUGAAAUCCUUAUAUGUGAAAAAAAAAUAAACAAAAACUUACAUCAGAAAACACCACAAACAAACAAACAUAAUAAAAAACAUUACGAGACAAUAAUCAAAAUCAAGUUAAAAUGACAAAAAAAACCUACUGAAUCAAAACAAAAAAAACACCAUUAUCAACAUAAAAUGACAUUUAACUAAUUAAUAAAAACAUGCAUAGUUUGUAAAAUUCAUAGCCUGCAAAAUCCAUAUCAAUCUUUUUAAAAUUACAACAAUAGCCCCACAAUCGUAAAUUAACGGCGUUAGUUUAAUAAGUUACCAAUAUAAUUACAAAUAUGUCAUCGCAUAGUUUCAGAAACAAACAUAAGGACAUCAAACGGUUAUACACAUAUCUCACAAUCUCUAAUGUUUUUUAUCUCAAGGGAACCACCAUCUAUAUAUAUAUAUAUAUAUACAGAGAGAGUUAGGUUUAAAUGUUUAUAGCAACUAUUGUGUGCAUGAAUGUACCAAUAGAAAUUAAUAAAAAAAAUAAAUAAUUAAAUAAAUAGUAAAAUGGUAUGAUAGUAAUCUAACACUAUUUAAUUAUAGUAGGAAUUUUAAAACAUUUAAUAUCUCCUAAAAAUAGGGAAAUCGGUAUUAAAAUCCUUUUACGCGUCUUUUUCAUCUUAGUAACCCUACACCAUCGGUUUUUCCUUAGCCGUACAUCACCAACACCUUCAGCCACAUGCUCAUUCAAUCGUCGUCUAAAGAAACUCGAUGACCCUCUUCACAGCCAGUGCUACACCACCCGCUGUCAUUCCCCUGUUAUUACGGUGUGGAUCUUGUUCAAAAAUUAAUCAUCUUAUUUCUACCGGUGUGAUUAACUUUUGAUCUUCAUUUUUUGAUUUUAUAAAAACUGGUUUUGGAUGAUUAGCUGCCACCAAUACCAUUGAGGGUUUAUCGAUCAAUACAAUAGCUUUCAUGGUUUUUCACUUUCAUCUUUUUUUUUUUUGGUUUUUCUUCCCUUUUCUAAUCCGGAAUUGUUCACCUUGGUAGCAGGGGCCAUCGUAUCCUUCAAUCAGGUAAUCGUCUCAUUUCUUUUAAUUUUAAAAUAUCGUUCAGUUGCACCCUAUAACUACUUCUCCUUUAAUUUGGGAUUCCUUUGUUUUUAGGUGGGGCCAAUUGGAAUUAUACAAUAGAUGAAUUAGGCUACAUGGGAUUGUAAGUUUCAUUUAAUCCAUUUUUUUAAUGUAUUUCUUGAUAUGUGAAUUGGAACUUGAAUAUCUUGGAACAUACACGACAUAUAUAACAUAUUGUUCACCAUUCUUUAAAAAUUUGGUUAUAUUGUUCAAAAAAUAAUGUGUCAAUUGCAUUGUUUAAGAAUUCUUCAAACUGUAGUGGUACAUGUCAUUUGUCUUUGAUGAAAAGGGUUAAGCUAGCAUUCUGUCAAAAUUUGCAAACACAUGGAACACUUUCUAUUGCUAUAAUUUACACAAGUUGUAGGUGCAAACAAAGGUGGUUUUUUACACCUGGUGGAAUAGAUACUAUCUAUUUGGACCUUUUUACCCUUGCAGGGCUUUCUUCCUACAUAUUGCCCCCUUAUUGUGUUCCAUGUGGUUUGGAUACUUGUUUUUUUUCUUGUAACAGGAUUUAUUAUACGUAAAGAGAAACUGGAUAGGAAUAUAAUGCAUUUGGAAUACAUACAGGGAGUCUUCAUCCUGGUGCUUUCAUAGAUCAUCAUUUUUCACAACAAAAAACUUGUGAGCCGAAGAUGGUUUAUAUAUUCCAAUUGUUUUUUUUUCUUAGUCACCUUUUGUGUUAACAUGAUCUUUUCAUGCAUUUAUAUUUCAAAUGUUUUUGUUCGUUGGGUCUAUUCUUAAUAAUACAAAUUCUUUUAAUAAUAUACAAAACCACUCUGCAAGAAUAGUUUAUUGUGUAAGAAUAUUAUUGUUGUAUUCUAAUAGAAUAGUAGUUAAUUAUUUAUAUGUUUAAUGUGCAGUUGUUACAAGUGUAUCACUACAAAAUAUUUGGUAAUGAAUUUUUCAUAGAAAUGGUUUGAAGAAUGGCUUGAAAACCUGAUGUAAAAGGCUUGAAGAAUGAAUUAAAGAAUGAUCACACUCAUUGUUUAAUAAUGUUGUUACUUUUUAAAAAUUACACUUGUUAUUCUUUCACAAUAUUGUUAUUAUUCAAUGAAUCAGAAUCAUACAAUGUAAUUAUUUGGUAUAUUAUUAGUUCAAGAAUCGAUUUUGUGUAUUCUUUCAUAAUGUAUUUACUAGUUUAUGGUUGGGAUUCUGUCAUUCUGAUAGAAUAAAAUCGAAAAUAUAUUUACUAGUUUAUGGUUGGCAUGCUGUCAUUCUGACAGAAUAAAAUCGGAUUUUUAAAUUUGAAUUAAUUUAAAAUAUUCAGAUUUUUAAAAAUAAAGGAAUUAAUUAUCCAAAAAAUUCGAAAAUUUCCUUUUUUAAUAUAACCUAAUUGACUAAAAUACCCUUAUGCUGAAAAUUGUUUAAUAAUAUGGUACAUGUUAUCCUAUUCUAAUAUCAUAGACCCUUAGAUCAUGACAUUUGAUUAUAUUCCAUCCGGUGAUCCAGAUCUGUGCAAUCUGGAACACAAUAGUUAAUAAAUACAUAAUAACCUAAGCCUAUAUAUAUAUAUAUAUAUAUAUNAACAUGAAAUGAUGAUUUUUCCCACAUAAUGAGAUUUUUAUGUUAAAAAAGACAUUUAGGACCCUAUAAAAAAAUUCCAAAAAUUAUAAGAUUUUUCUUAGAUAUCCUUUGUAUAGAAAAGUAGGAUGUUACAGUUUUAGCGGUACGUCUUAACAUUUUUUUUAAUCAAAUUGGUUAUCCCUUCGUUUAAAAAACAAGGAACUUUUGAGUUGAUACAUGGUGUAAUAUAUAAAAAUCUUUGAAAAAGUGGGAGUUUUAGGUACGUCAUGACAUUUUUUUAAUGGUUCUUCCUUAGUGUAGAAAAAAAAAUGAAAAUUUUAAGUUGGUACAUGUUUUAAUAUAUAAAAAUCUUUGAGUUAUGUAAAACGAGCUAAAAGAUAGUCUAAUAAAUAUAUCUUUGAGUUGUGGUCUACUAAGCCUAACAUCUAUAUUAUAACCGUGUAAUAUCGCUAUAUAAAGGGACAAUGAUUUAUAUGGGUAACUAUGUUUCAAAAUUGUUCAAAAAAUACCAUUCAAGUUUGAUGUAUCCAAAAAACACCAUCCAAGUAAAGCAUUUGUACAAAAAACACCAACGAAGUACAUUUUGUGUUCAAAUUUGACCUUGUGGUAACCGGAUAUUACCGGAAAAAAUAACUAAAGGAAAAAAAGAAAGAGGAAAUGACUCAAAGGGGUAACUAUGUUUUAAAAUCAUUCAAAAAACACCAUCUAAGUAUACUUUUGUACAAAAAAACACCAACAAACUAUAUGUUUUGUUCAAAUAUUACCUACCGGUAACUAACUCUUACAGGUUAAAUGAUGACUUGGCUUUAACUAUUAUGACAUGACAUAAUAAUUGUCACAACUAGCAAUUUAGGGUUGAGAUUGUGAUUCAUGUAGAAAAUAAUUUCCUCUAUGUAACCUUGCAACAUCAAAUUAAUGAAAUUCAAACUACAAUGUUAUUUGAAUUCAUGUGAGCGUACAUAUAAAAUCCAGUAGAAAUAGCCUCUUACAAGCCCAAAAAUUGAUCCAAUAGCUAAGCCCAAUCGAUUUUGGGCCUUGGCCCAAGAAUUCUAAACCCAACACCCUAUUGGACCGAAAACCUUUCUUUGGGCCUUAUUGGGUUGGAAACUUUUCUUUGGGCCUUAUUGGGCUGAAAAUUUUUCUUUGGGACAUAUUAGGCCGAUAACCCUUUUAUUGGACCCAAUUAAACCCAAAAAGCCGAUACGUACUCCAAAACGAAAACCCUUCUAUCUUUGGGCUUUAAUAGACCGAAAACCUCUUAAUGGGCCAAGCCAAAACCAAAAACCCAUUUAAGAAUCCCAUGAAAUCCGAAAACCCAAAAAGGCCUCUUUGUCUCACUAGUGUAGCUGAUUUUGGUUGCUCUAAGUAUGCUUAUAUAGUAUGUUGCAUUAGGGUUACACCAUGUAAACCCUAAUGUAACAUGGCUCUUCAUUUCCAUAACCCAUGGGUUUGUAACUCCCAUGGAGCAUCCUAUGGAACUUAGCCCAACUAGAUAAUCCACGGAGCAUCUAGCCCCUACGAUGCUUGGAAACGCCAUACGAAUAGCCGCUCCAGUAUCUUAAACGCCUAGGAAACGGAAACGCCAGUGAAACGGUCGGGAAACGUUUCUGGCAAAUAUCAGUAAUCCCUAAAAUGUUUCUCGCACGUUUCGUUCACCUUUCCCUUUUUUAUUUUUAUUUGCAUGGGCUUUUAAUAUGUAGAAAUAGAGUAAUGGGCUUAGUCCUAUGUCGGUUGCCAAUGCUAUUACCCUACAAUUAGUCAAUCAGUCAAUUAGAAUUUAGAAGUUUGUAAACGUAAGGCUGCUGCGUACUCUUUUCAUUGGUUCUCAUCGACUUUUAUAGUUUUUUUAUUGCCUCUCUGUGUCGUCGAUCAAGAAGACAAGAACAAGAAAAAAAUUCAAAACUCAUUCACACAUUCACCACUCACCAAUUCGAUUAUUAUGGCUUCUUCUCAAGAACAAGAAACACAAGGAUCAUCUACAUCAUUAGACCAACCUCCAUUGUGGGACUUUGUGACUAAACUUGAUAAACUUGUUGGAGCAGGAGGAUGUUGGAAGUUCAAGUGUAACCUUUGCAGUGAAACCAGACAAGGAUCAUAUUCUAGAGUUAGAGCACAUUUGCUUCGCAUAAAAGGUAAUCUAUUAUUCAAAUUAGUGUGUGUGUGUCUAUGUAAUUUUCGAUUUUUGAUUUAUGUUGUUGACUUAUUGUAUUGAUUCAUGAAAAAUUGUAAAGAAAAAAAAUUAGAGGCAACGAUUUUUGUUUCGAUUCAUCAUUCAUGUAUUUGUUGUAAUUUUUUUAUUCUUGUUAUUGUAUUGAAGUAUUGAAAUAUUGAUUCAUUAAAAAAUGUAAUGAAAUAAGAGGCUGUGAUUUUUUUUUUGAUUCAUGUAUUUGUUGCACUUUUGAUUCAUGUUAUUCAAUAGAACUAUUUAUUCAUGAACAAUGGUAAAGUGAAAUAAAUAAGAGGUUUUUGAUUCACUUUCUUGUUUUGAUUAAUGUAAUGUAAUUGAAUUUAUAAUGUUAGUGAUGACCUUAUUUUUUUCAUGUUGUGUAAUUGAGAAUGUCAAUGUUAUUAUGUUGUUUAAUAUAGGUACUGGGAUUUCUAUUUGCGAGAAAGCAAUAACAGCUGACAAACUUAACAUCACACAAUUAGAAGAUGCAUAUGAAAAGAAGAAAACUGAGUCACAAGCGAAAGAAGUCCAGUUGCCAUGUGAAGCUGGUGUUGGAUUUAAGAAAAGAAAAGGUAUUCCAAGACCUAUUGAAAGAGCUUUUGGUGUAGAAAUUAGGGACCAACUGGAUCAAAAAAUAGCUAGAAUGUUUUAUACCGAAGGUUUACCUUUUAAUCUUGCAAGAAAUCCACACUAUGUCAGGGCUUUUCAGUUUGCUGCUAACAAAAAAAUUGAUGGUUAUGUACCUCUUGGUUAUAAUAAGCUAAGAACAACAUUACUACAAAAAGAAAAAGAUAUUGUUCAAAAGCUAUUGGAGCCACUUACGUCUACAUGGAAAGAAAAAAGUGUGACUAUUGUGAGUGAUGGUUGGAGUGAUCCUACAAGAAAACCUCUAAUCAACUUCAUGGCUACCUCAGGUAAUGGUCCUUUGUUUCUAAAGGCAGUAAAUUGUUUUGGGGAAGUGAAAGAUAGAUUUUUUAUUGUCGAAGUGAUGAAGGAAGUCAUACAUUGAAUUGGUCAUGAAAAUGUUGUGCAAAUAAUUACUAACAAUGCAACAAAUUGUAAGACGGAUGGAGAGAUUAUAGAGAGUCAAUUUCCUCACAUUUAUUGGACACCAUGUGUUGUUCAUAAGCAUAAUCUCGCUUUAAAGAACUGUAACAUCCCGGAAAUUUAGAAGUAAAGUUGAAGGGCUAAAAGUGUAAAUAAGAAGGUCGACUCGGAGAAUCAAGUGGUGUUUCAGGUCGCGUGAUAAGUGACCAACUCGGCGAGUCGCAUGGGUAGACUCGGCAAGUUGGUGUUGUAUGGAGAAAACCCUAAUCCCGAGGGUUGAGCCCUAUAUAAAGAACAUAAUACCCCCUCCCCAGCCUCUUUACCUUCCCUUUGAGUUCCAGAGGCCCUAAAUUCGUGUGAGCUUUCCUUUGUGAGUAAUUAGAGCCUUGGAGGAGGAAAUCUUGGAGGGGAAUUGAAGAGCAAGAAGAUUUGGAGCAAGGGUCUUUGCAGAGAUUUGGUUCAUUCUCCAGUAGGAGCUUGCAUUGGAGGUAAGAGAUCUGUUCUUGAGCUUUUGUGCAUCUAGAUCUAUCAAUUGUAGGGUUUUUGGAGCAUAAAUGAGGUUCAUCUCGAGUUUGGUGUAAGAUGUUGCUACCUUAGAUCUAGGAUUGUAGUGGUCCAGGAAGCCAUAAAGUUCAUGCCCAAGAGUUUUUAGUGAAGCCUUCUUGUCCUAAACCCUAUCCCAAGAGUGUUCGAUGCUUAGAUCUCUUUGGAUUCACGUAAAGUUUGCAACUUUACGUGAGGAAUAGCUUGUGGAAGGGUAGAUCUAUGGAUUGGAGCCCCUGCAUGGCUUGGAAAGCCACUGAAUGGAUUAAGAGCUUGUGGUACUCGGCGAGUCACAUGGGUGUACUUGGCGAGUUGCAUGAAGAUAGGCAGAAACUUGGCGAGUUGAAAGAACAACUCGGCGAGUUGGUUGAAGAUAGCCUGGGACUCGGCGAGUCUGUUCUUGGACUCGGCGAGUCUGGUCGUGAGGUCCUAACCUUUCCUGGCUGAGCUGUGAAUCGGUGAGUCAAGGGACGACUCGGUGAGUUGAGCAGGAAGUGACUCAGAGUUCGUGGGACUCGGCGAGUCUUGGGGCGACUCGGUGAGUUGGGUCACGAUAUGGGAGUUUUCAGAGUUGAGGGACUCAACGAGUUAGCGGUGUUAAUAUCGGUUCUUUCUAUUUUUGUGAAACAUAAUGGAAAACAAAACUUUUUGUGCUUAAAUCUUCAACAGGAAAUAAUAAUUUCGAAUUUUUCAAAUUUUGACUUUGAGGAAACUUCAACAUUCCCUCAACUAUCUUUACAACAAGAUCCUUUUUCAAAUCCUCCAUCUUCUGAUACAUAUAUGAAAUUUUACUUUCAUACACCUACAUAAGAAUAAAGAUACUUACAACUAAAAUACUUAAACAUAAAAAGUCAUAAAUGAAUAAACUAAUUAAAUCAUAAAUGAAUAAAACUAUAGAAUUACCUCCACAUCACUAACUUUAUUAACUUCAAAAUCUUCUUCAUCCUCAUCACAUAAAUCCUCUUUGCCGUCAGAUUCAACCUCAUCACCACCAGAUUCCUCCUCAUUAUACUCAGAUUCUUGAAAUUCUUCUUCAACAUAUGCUUCAUUAACAUGUUCACAUCCAAAUCCUCCACUCUCUUCAAAAAUAUCUUCAAGAAACCUUAUCUUCUCUGACAUCCAAUUAAGAAAACAGUUGGACGUUUAUGUGUGAUUUGCAAAUGAUCAAACUUGAAAGUAUCCACAUACAACAACUGCAAAAACAUAUAUAUCAUCAUAACAUAUAUAACAUCAUAUACGAUUUUGAUGUGUAAUAUAUAAUUAAACAAAAAUUAUACAACAUAAUCAUAUGUAGUAAAAUCAUAUAUGAUUUAUUACAAAAACAAACAUAUUUUUACAACUAAAAAGAAUAAUUAAUAUCAAAAAAUAGCUCACGUACCAUAAGGUAUGUUGUUGUUCCAUAAAAGAAAGAAGAUUAUUUCUCUGGAUUGUAAACCUUCUUCAUCCUUACAAAAUAAUCCACAAUGUAAUCGCACCAGUCAAUGCUACUUAAAUCAGUAUCUCUUCUGAUUAAAUACAAUGGAUUCAGAUUACAUUUACCCAUGCUUGUAGACUCACCGAAAGUAUUAAUAAAAAGAACCAAAAAAUUGAUUAUGUAGUUGUCAUCUGUAGCCCUAGUUUGAACAAGUUGAUUCUUUAGUUGUUUCAAUCUCAAUUUAUCAAUAUUCUCAUAUUGUUUCUUCCACUCAAACACACAACUCUCUUCAUUAUUCUCCGAAAUGUAAUCCAUGUUUGAAAGUAAUGAGCCACCAGAUGGUAAUCCUAGCAUCUCUUGAAUAGACUUACUAUCAACACUAUCUUCACAAUUAUCAAACUCCACCUUCAAAGAUUCAAAAUUAAAACGGUCAAGAACAUAAUAAACAAUCUUCAACGGUACGUCAAUCAUCUCCAUACCUAAGAUACUCCCAAUCCCAUAGCCCUAACACAAUCCUUCUGCUCUCUAUUUAAACCUUGAAUAACACCCAACAAUGACCCGGGUGAACAUCUAUUCUUUAGUGAAGGAAAUUCUUUUAUAACAGCAACUUUUUUUUAUCUUUCUUCAAAACUUUAGUUUCUCUCUUUGGUUUCUUUGAAGAUCCAGGACGACUCUGAAAAUCUAAAUCAUCUUUAUCGGAUAGUUCACGUUUCUUACUUACAGGUUUGACCUUAACCCCCAGUUCACUUUUAGUUGUUCAAUAACUGUUUUUUUGGAUGUCUUUGAACGUGUUUGCAACACCUCAUUCGCUUUUUCUCUUUUGGAAGAUGAUCGUGUCUUCCUUGAGNNNNNNNNNNNNNNNNNNNNNNNNNNNNNNNNNNNNNNNNNNNNNNNNNNNNNNNNNNNNNNNNNNNNNNNNNNNNNNNNNNNNNNNNNNNNNNNNNNNNNNNNNNNNNNNNNNNNNNNNNNNNNNNNNNNNNNNNNNNNNNNNNNNNNNNNNNNNNNNNNNNNNNNNNNNNNNNNNNNNNNNNNNNNNNNNNNNNNNNNNNNNNNNNNNNNNNNNNNNNNNNNNNNNNNNNNNNNNNNNNNNNNNNNNNNNNNNNNNNNNNNNNNNNNNNNNNNNNNNNNNNNNNNNNNNNNNNNNNNNNNNNNNNNNNNNNNNNNNNNNNNNNNNNNNNNNNNNNNNNNNNNNNNNNNNNNNNNNNNNNNNNNNNNNNNNNNNNNNNNNNNNNNNNNNNNNNNNNNNNNNNNNNNNNNNNNNNNNNNNNNNNNNNNNNNNNNNNNNNNNNNNNNNNNNNNNNNNNNNNNNNNNNNNNNNNNNNNNNNNNNNNNNNNNNNNNNNNNNNNNNNNNNNNNNNNNNNNNNNNNNNNNNNNNNNNNNNNNNNNNNNNNNNNNNNNNNNNNNNNNNNNNNNNNNNNNNNNNNNNNNNNNNNNNNNNNNNNNNNNNNNNNNNNNNNNNNNNNNNNNNNNNNNNNNNNNNNNNNNNNNNNNNNNNNNNNNNNNNNNNNNNNNNNNNNNNNNNNNNNNNNNNNNNNNNNNNNNNNNNNNNNNNNNNNNNNNNNNNNNNNNNNNNNNNNNNNNNNNNNNNNNNNNNNNNNNNNNNNNNNNNNNNNNNNNNNNNNNNNNNNNNNNNNNNNNNNNNNNNNNNNNNNNNNNNNNNNNNNNNNNNNNNNNNNNNNNNNNNNNNNNNNNNNNNNNNNNNNNNNNNNNNNNNNNNNNNNNNNNNNNNNNNNNNNNNNNNNNNNNNNNNNNNNNNNNNNNNNNNNNNNNNNNNNNNNNNNNNNNNNNNNNNNNNNNNNNNNNNNNNNNNNNNNNNNNNNNNNNNNNNNNNNNNNNNNNNNNNNNNNNNNNNNNNNNNNNNNNNNNNNNNNNNNNNNNNNNNNNNNNNNNNNNNNNNNNNNNNNNNNNNNNNNNNNNNNNNNNNNNNNNNNNNNNNNNNNNNNNNNNNNNNNNNNNNNNNNNNNNNNNNNNNNNNNNNNNNNNNNNNNNNNNNNNNNNNNNNNNNNNNNNNNNNNNNNNNNNNNNNNNNNNNNNNNNNNNNNNNNNNNNNNNNNNNNNNNNNNNNNNNNNNNNNNNNNNNNNNNNNNNNNNNNNNNNNNNNNNNNNNNNNNNNNNNNNNNNNNNNNNNNNNNNNNNNNNNNNNNNNNNNNNNNNNNNNNNNNNNNNNNNNNNNNNNNNNNNNNNNNNNNNNNNNNNNNNNNNNNNNNNNNNNNNNNNNNNNNNNNNNNNNNNNNNNNNNNNNNNNNNNNNNNNNNNNNNNNNNNNNNNNNNNNNNNNNNNNNNNNNNNNNNNNNNNNNNNNNNNNNNNNNNNNNNNNNNNNNNNNNNNNNNNNNNNNNNNNNNNNNNNNNNNNNNNNNNNNNNNNNNNNNNNNNNNNNNNNNNNNNNNNNNNNNNNNNNNNNNNNNNNNNNNNNNNNNNNNNNNNNNNNNNNNNNNNNNNNNNNNNNNNNNNNNNNNNNNNNNNNNNNNNNNNNNNNNNNNNNNNNNNNNNNNNNNNNNNNNNNNNNNNNNNNNNNNNNNNNNNNNNNNNNNNNNNNNNNNNNNNNNNNNNNNNNNNNNNNNNNNNNNNNNNNNNNNNNNNNNNNNNNNNNNNNNNNNNNNNNNNNNNNNNNNNNNNNNNNNNNNNNNNNNNNNNNNNNNNNNNNNNNNNNNNNNNNNNNNNNNNNNNNNNNNNNNNNNNNNNNNNNNNNNNNNNNNNNNNNNNNNNNNNNNNNNNNNNNNNNNNNNNNNNNNNNNNNNNNNNNNNNNNNNNNNNNNNNNNNNNNNNNNNNNNNNNNNNNNNNNNNNNNNNNNNNNNNNNNNNNNNNNNNNNNNNNNNNNNNNNNNNNNNNNNNNNNNNNNNNNNNNNNNNNNNNNNNNNNNNNNNNNNNNNNNNNNNNNNNNNNNNNNNNNNNNNNNNNNNNNNNNNNNNNNNNNNNNNNNNNNNNNNNNNNNNNNNNNNNNNNNNNNNNNNNNNNNNNNNNNNNNNNNNNNNNNNNNNNNNNNNNNNNNNNNNNNNNNNNNNNNNNNNNNNNNNNNNNNNNNNNNNNNNNNNNNNNNNNNNNNNNNNNNNNNNNNNNNNNNNNNNNNNNNNNNNNNNNNNNNNNNNNNNNNNNNNNNNNNNNNNNNNNNNNNNNNNNNNNNNNNNNNNNNNNNNNNNNNNNNNNNNNNNNNNNNNNNNNNNNNNNNNNNNNNNNNNNNNNNNNNNNNNNNNNNNNNNNNNNNNNNNNNNNNNNNNNNNNNNNNNNNNNNNNNNNNNNNNNNNNNNNNNNNNNNNNNNNNNNNNNNNNNNNNNNNNNNNNNNNNNNNNNNNNNNNNNNNNNNNNNNNNNNNNNNNNNNNNNNNNNNNNNNNNNNNNNNNNNNNNNNNNNNNNNNNNNNNNNNNNNNNNNNNNNNNNNNNNNNNNNNNNNNNNNNNNNNNNNNNNNNNNNNNNNNNNNNNNNNNNNNNNNNNNNNNNNNNNNNNNNNNNNNNNNNNNNNNNNNNNNNNNNNNNNNNNNNNNNNNNNNNNNNNNNNNNNNNNNNNNNNNNNNNNNNNNNNNNNNNNNNNNNNNNNNNNNNNNNNNNNNNNNNNNNNNNNNNNNNNNNNNNNNNNNNNNNNNNNNNNNNNNNNNNNNNNNNNNNNNNNNNNNNNNNNNNNNNNNNNNNNNNNNNNNNNNNNNNNNNNNNNNNNNNNNNNNNNNNNNNNNNNNNNNNNNNNNNNNNNNNNNNNNNNNNNNNNNNNNNNNNNNNNNNNNNNNNNNNNNNNNNNNNNNNNNNNNNNNNNNNNNNNNNNNNNNNNNNNNNNNNNNNNNNNNNNNNNNNNNNNNNNNNNNNNNNNNNNNNNNNNNNNNNNNNNNNNNNNNNNNNNNNNNNNNNNNNNNNNNNNNNNNNNNNNNNNNNNNNNNNNNNNNNNNNNNNNNNNNNNNNNNNNNNNNNNNNNNNNNNNNNNNNNNNNNNNNNNNNNNNNNNNNNNNNNNNNNNNNNNNNNNNNNNNNNNNNNNNNNNNNNNNNNNNNNNNNNNNNNNNNNNNNNNNNNNNNNNNNNNNNNNNNNNNNNNNNNNNNNNNNNNNNNNNNNNNNNNNNNNNNNNNNNNNNNNNNNNNNNNNNNNNNNNNNNNNNNNNNNNNNNNNNNNNNNNNNNNNNNNNNNNNNNNNNNNNNNNNNNNNNNNNNNNNNNNNNNNNNNNNNNNNNNNNNNNNNNNNNNNNNNNNNNNNNNNNNNNNNNNNNNNNNNNNNNNNNNNNNNNNNNNNNNNNNNNNNNNNNNNNNNNNNNNNNNNNNNNNNNNNNNNNNNNNNNNNNNNNNNNNNNNNNNNNNNNNNNNNNNNNNNNNNNNNNNNNNNNNNNNNNNNNNNNNNNNNNNNNNNNNNNNNNNNNNNNNNNNNNNNNNNNNNNNNNNNNNNNNNNNNNNNNNNNNNNNNNNNNNNNNNNNNNNNNNNNNNNNNNNNNNNNNNNNNNNNNNNNNNNNNNNNNNNNNNNNNNAAAAAAAGACAAACUUACCCAUGAACUGACUUUUUGUUAGGCUUUGAAAGUUCUGAACAAAUUGACCCAAGCACUUUAAUGUCUGAUAGAGGAAUAGAAAGUGAAAAGUGAGUGUACAAUCACAUAAAUGGAAAGUUUGACUUAUAAGUUAAAAUUUAUAAAAUAGAGUUGACCUGUGGUGAGGAAACAUUAGCAUUAAUUUUUUAUCAUUUUUUAUCUUAGUAAGCUUAUUUACACUUUAAUGAAUAGAUUGAAAAUGAAUUUGUUACUUUCUUUCAUAAUGAUCAAAAACUACCUCAAUAGAUAUGGAAUUAAAUUACCUUGCAAUAGAGGAAGCUGACAUAUGCCUUCUUUCAUAUUCAUUAGCUAGGCAGGUAAAAAACUGCAAAAGAGUAAAUUUCUAGUGAGGGCCAUAAAUUCACAGUCAUGUGUACGUCAGGUGAUGUUAUAAGGUCUGACUUAGGUGAGAUGGCUCUUUCAAGCAUUUCGUCAAACAGUUGGAGUGCAUAGCUCCUCCCCUUUCUUUUUUGAUCUAUUUAUUGGAAUUAUCACCACUUUGAGAGCAUACAACUCCAUUCUUCUUUUCAAAACAUAUAAUUCAGCAAAUAAGUUAACAUAUAAGGGUAGGAAUACGAACUUAAGACUAAAACUGAAAACAAAAUGACAAACCCCAUCUCUCUUUGUAAUCUUGAAUUGGCUCAAUAGCUAGAAAAAAAAAGAAUUAAAAUUGAUCAAAAACUACCUCAAUAGCUUAUUUACAUCACAUAUAAGAGACUAUAUAACGUUAGUUUAAAUAGUUGGUUCUUGAUUUUAAGAAGUUAUUUUUGUAACCUAGUUGUAUAUAUUAAUAAUUGGAUACCUGUUACAUGUGGUUGAUAGAUAGCUUCCCAAACAGCAGCUAGUUCUAAGCCAAUAGCUAUAAGCUGAAACGUGAAAUAAAGUUGUUUACAGAGAUGAGAAGUAGAUACAGGAAAAAAUCAGAGGCAUAAAGUAGAAAUUGACAAUACUAGAUGAAAUCGCACAUUUAGGGAAAAAUCAUAAUCCUUUUUCUUGAUUGAGAAGAUGAAGUCGAGAUAUGAAUGAGAAAUUGCGUGCCCCCUUAUUUGUUGAAUGACUGAAGAAAUAGGGCAGGGUAGAAGCGUCCUUUUCAUACCUUAGUGCAAUCAAACCUUGGGCUUGUAAACCUGAGGAGUCUUAGUAAAUGUAUUAGGGUGGGGAAGAGGUGGAACGGUGAGCCUGAGGAGUUGAUAUCUAAUCUUAUGUACCAAUGGUGAUAUAUGUCAUUCUUCUAUGACGAGUAUGAGAGAUAUUAUUUGAUAGGUGUGUAGUCGCCGAUGUUCUAGCCUGAGGAGUCACAACACCAUUACUAUUUCAAAUGUGUUAUGUUUGAUUAGGGUUUGCACAUAGAAGGAAGUGAAAGUCGAUCGGAGAGGAAGGGGUUUGCAGAGAGAAAGAAGGGAGAGAAUGAAGUCGAUUUUGGAGGGUAGAGAGCAGAGAGGAAGAGGAAGCGGGUGUUCAAAAUUUUGGGGGAUUUAGUUUCCCCCCUUACCUAUCAAGGAGGCGCGUUUAUUAAAAUUAUAAAGCGACAUUUGUAGAGGACGCUCUUUUUAUUAUAGGUGCCCUCCGUGUUUUUAAUAUUUUUACACCAGACACUAAUUUAAGGGCACUCAGUAAUGCGCGACCUAAAUCCUUAAAAUUUUUGAAGAGAUGACACUUUUUUAAUGUCGCUCUCUAAUGCGUAACAUAAAUCAAAGAGCGUCGUGUUUUGCGCGUCGUAAAAGGCCUUUUUUCUUGUAGUGAUUGUAAACCUUCUUCAUCCUUACCAAACAAUCCACAAUGUAAUCGCACCAGUCAAUGCUACUUAAAUUAGUAUCUCUUCUGAUUAAAUACAAUGGAUUCAGAUUACAUUUACCCAUGCUUGUAGACUCACCGAAAGUAUUAAUAAAAAGAACCAAAAAAUUGAUUAUGUAGUUGUUAUCUGUAGCCCUAGUUUGAACAAGUUGAUUCUUUAGUUGUUUCAAUCUCAAUUUAUCAAUAUUCUCAUAUUGUUUCUUCCACUCAAUCACACAACUCUCUUCAUUAUUCUCCGAAAUGUAAUCCAUGUUUGAAAGUAAUGAGCCACCAGAUGGUAAUCCUAGCAUCUCUUGAAUAGACUUACUAUCAACACUAUCUUCACAAUUAUCAAACUCCACCUUCAAAGAUUCAAAAUUAAAACGGUCAAGAACAUAAUAAACAAUCUUCAACGGUACGUCAAUCAUCUCCAUACCUAAGAUACUCCCAAUCCCAUAGCCCUAACACAAUCCUUCUGCUCUCUAUUUAAACCUUGAAUAACACCCAACAAUGACCCGAGUGAACAUCUAUUCUUUAGUGAAGGAAAUUCUUUUAUAACAGCAACUUUUUUUAUCUUUCUUCAAAACUUUAGUUUCUCUAUUUGGUUUCUUUGAAGAUCCAGGACGACUCUGAAAAUCUAAAUCAUCUUUAUCGGAUAGUUCACGUUUCUUACUUACAGGUUUGACCUUAACCCCCAGUUCACUUUUAGUUGUUCAAUAACUGUUUUUUUGGAUGUCUUUGAACGUGUUUGCAACACCUCAUUCGCUUUUUCUCUUUUGGAAGAUGAUCGUGUCUUCCUUGAGAUAUCUACAUUCCCUUUUUAACUACAAUUUUCAUUACAAACAUAGUGUUAGUAAAAAAUAAUACAUACAUUUAUCAUUACUAUUCACUAAUGAUUAUAAACAGACAUAUAAAAUCAUUUAUGAUUAGAGCAAUAAAUAAAAAUACAACUAAAUGUUAUAUACAAUCCACUUAAAAUAACCACAAAAUCAGUUAUGAUUACAAAAAUAAUUUUAUAUUCAUGUUUGAUACAUAAAAAUACAUUUAUCAUUACUAUUUAACAAUGAUUAUAAACAAACGUAUAAAAUCAUCUAUGAUUAGAAAUAAAAAUAAACAUAUAACUACAUGUUAUGUUCAAUACACUAAAAAAAUCAAAAAAUCAGUUAUGAUUACAACAAAUAACUUCCAACAUUAAGUUAUAUGUUUAUUUAUACUUCUAAUCAUAGAUGAUUUUUUUUUGAACUGUACCUUCGGAAAUAACAGCACUUCUACCGCAUUCGAUAUUUUUUUGAUUUUUGAAUUUUUUUCGAUCGUAGUUUCUUUUGAAAUCCUUAUAUGUGAAAAAUAAACAAAAGCUUACAUCAGAAAACACCACAAACAAACAUAAUAAAAAACAAUACGAGACAAUAAUCAAAAUCAAGUUAAAAUGACGAAAAACCUACUGAAUCAAAAAAAAAACACCAUUAUCAACAUAAAACGACAUUUAACUAGUUAAUAAAAACAUGCAUAGUUUGUAAAAUUCAUAGCCUUCAAAAUCCAUAUCAAUUUUUAUAAAAUUACAACAAUAGUCCCACAAUUGUAAAUUAACGGCGUUAGUUUCAUAAGUUACCAAUAUAAUUAUGAAUAUGUCAUCACAUAGUUUUAGAAACAAACAUAAGCACAUCAAACGGUUAUACAUAUAUCUCACAUUCUCUAAAUUUUUUUUUAUCUCAAGGGAACCACCAUAUAUAUAUGUAUAUAUAUAUAUAUAUAUAUAUAUAGAGAGAGAGAGAGAGAGUGAUAGGUUUAAAUGUGUAUAGCAACUAUUGUGUGCAUGAAUGCACCAAUAGGAAUUUAGGAAAAAAUAAAUAAUUAAAUAAAUAGUAAUAAAUAGUAAAAUGGUAUGAUAGUAAUCUAACACAAUUUAAUUAUAGUAGGAAUUUUAAAACAUUUAAUAUCUCCUAAAAAUAGGGAAAUCGGUAUUAAAAGCCUUUUAAACGUCUUUUUCAUCUUUGUAACCCUACACCACUUGUUUUUCCUUAGCCGUACAUCACCAACACCUUUGGCCAUAUGCUCAUUCAAUCGUCGUCCAAAGAAACUCGAUGACCCUCUUCACCGCCAGUGCUACACCACCCGCUGCCAUUCCCAUGUUAUUACGGUGUGGAUCUUGUUCAAAAAUUAAUCAUCUUAUUUCUACUGGUGCGAUUAACUUUCGAUCUUCAUUUUUUGAUUUUAUAAAACUGGUUUUGGAUGAUUAGCUGUCACCAAUACCAUUGAGGGUUUAUCGAUCAAUACAAUAACUUUCAUGGUUUUUCCCUUUCAUCUUUUUUUUGGUUUUGCUUCCCUUUUCUGAUCCGGAAUUGUUCACCUUGGUGGCAGGGCCAUCGUAUCCCUCAAUCAGGUAAUCGUCUCAUUUCUUUUAAUUUUAAAAUAUCCUUCAGUUGCACCCCAUUCCUACUUCUCCUUUAAUUUGGGAUUCCUUUGUUUUUAGGUGGGGCCAAUUGGAAUUAUACAACAGAUGAAUGAGGCUACAUGGGAUUGUAAGUUUCAGUUAAUCCAUUUUUUAAUGUAUUUCUUGAUAUGUGAAUUGGAACUUGAAUAUCUUGGAACAUACACGACAUAUAUAACAUAUUGCUCACCAUUCUUUAAAAAUUUCGUUAUAUUGUUCAAAAAAUAAUGUGUCGAUUGCACUGUUUAAGAAUUAUACUGUAGUGGUACAUGUCAUUUGUCUUUGAUGAAAAGGGUUAAGCUAGCAUUCUGUCAAAAUUUGCAAACACAUGGACCACUUUUCUAUUGCUAUAAUUUACACAAGUUGUAGGUGCAAACAAAGGUGGUUUUUUACACCUGGUGGAAUAGAUACUAUCUAUUUGGACUUUUUUACCCUUGGAGGGCCUUCUUCCUACUUAUUGCCCCCUUAUUGUGUUCCAUGUGGUUUGGAUACUUGUUUUUUUUCUUGUUACAAGAUUUAUUAUACGUAAAGAGAAACUGAAUAGGAAUAUAAUGCAUUUGGAAUACAUACAGGGAGUCUUCAUCCUAGUGCUUUCACAGAUCAUCGUUUUUCACAACAAAAAACUUGUGAGCCGAAGAUGCUUUAUAUAUUCUAAUUGUUUUUUUUCUUAGUCACCUUUUGUCUUAACAUGAUCUUUUCAUGCAUUUAUAUUUCAAAUGCUUUUGUUCGUUAGAUCUAUUCUUGAUAAUACAAAUUCUUUUAAUAAUAUUCAAAACCACUCUGCAAGAAUAGUUUAUUGUGUAAGAAUAUUAUUGUUGUAUUCUAAUAGAAUAAUAGUUAAUUAUUUAUAUGUUUAAUGUGCAGUUGUUACAAGUGUAUCACCACAAAAUAUUUAGCAAUGAAUUUGUGACAGAAAUGGUUUGAAGAAUGGCUUAAAGACCUGAUGGGAAAGGCUUGAAGAAUGAAUUAAAAAAUGAUCACACUCAUUGUUUAAUAAUGUUGUUACUUAUAAAAUUACACUUGUUAUUCUUUUAGAAUGUUUUUAUUAUUCAAUGAAUCACAAUCAUACAAUGUAAUUAUUUGGUAUAUUAUUAGUUCAAGAAUCGAUUUUGUGUAUUCUUUCAGAAUGCAUUUACUAGUUUAUGGUUGGGAUUCUGUCAUUCUGACAGAAUAAAAUCGAAAAUAUAUUUACUAGUUUAUAGUUGGCAUUCUGUCAUUUUGACAGAAUAAAAUCGGAUUUUUAAAUUUGAAUUAGUUUAAAAUAUUCAGAUUUUUAAAAAUAAAGGAAUUAAUUAUCCAAAAAAUCCGAAAAUUUCCUUUUUUAAUAUAACUUAAUUGACUAAAAUGCCCUUAUGCUGAAAUUUGUUUGAUUAUAUGGUACAUGUUAUCAUAUUCUAAUGUUAUAGACCGUCAGAUCAUGGUAUUUGAUUAUAUUCCAUCCGGUGGUCCAGAUCUGUGCAUUCUGGAACACAAUAGUUAAUAAANGAUUUUUAACAAAUAAUAAGAUUUUUAUGUUAAAAAAACAUUAGGACCCUAUAAAAAAAAUAAGAUUUUUCUUAGAUAUCAUUUGCAUAGAAAAGUAGGAUGUUACAGUUUUAACGGUACAUCUUAUCAUUUUUUUUAAUCAAAUUGGUUAUCCCUUGGUUUAAAAAUAAGGAACUUUUGAGUUGAUACAUGGUUUAAUAUAUAAAUAUCUUUGAAAAAGUGGGAGUUUUAGGUACGUCAUGACAUUUUUUUAAUGGUUCUCCCUUAGUUUAGAAAAAAGAAAUGAAAAUAUUGAGUUGGUACAUGUUUUAAUAUAUAAAAAUCUUUGAGUUAUGUAAAACGAGCUUAAAGAUAGUCUAAUAAAUAUAUCUUUGAGUUGUGGUCUACUAAGCCUAACAUCUAUAUUAUAACCGUGUAAUAUCGCUAUAUAAAGGGACAAUGAUUUAUAUGGGUAACUAUGUUUCAAAAUUGUUCACAAAAUACCAUUCAAGUUUGAUGUAUCCAAAAAACACCAUCCAAGUAAAGCAUUUGUACAAAAAACACCAACAAAGUACAUUUUUUGUUCAAAUUUGACCUUGUGGUAACCGGAUAUUACCGGUAAAAAAUAACUAAAGGAAAAAAAGCAAGAGGAAAUGACUCAAAGGGGUAACUAUGUUUUAAAAUCGUUCAAAAAACACCAUCUAAGUAUACUUUUGUACAAAAAAACACCAAUAAACUAUAUGUUUUGUUCAAAUAUUACCUACCGGUAACUAACUCUUACAGGUUAAAUGAUGACUUGGCUUUAACUAUUAUGACAUGACAUAAUAAUUGUCACAACUAGCAAUUUAGGGUUGAGAUUGUGAUUCAUGUACAAAAUAAUUUCCUCUAUGUAACCUUACAACAUCAAAUUAAUGAAAUUCAAACUACAAUGUUAUUUGAAUUCAUGUGAGCGUACAUAUAAAAUCCAGUAGAAAUAGCCUAUUACAAGCCCAAAAAUCGAUCCAAUAGCUAAGCCCAAUCGAUUUUGGGCCUUGGCCCAAGAAUUCUAAACCCAACACCCUAUUGGACCGAAAACCUUUCUUUGGGCCUUAUUGGGUUGGAAACUUUUCUUUGGGCCUUAUUGGGCUAAAAAAGUUUCUUUGGGCCAUAUUGGGCCGAUAACCCUUUUAUUGGACCCAAUUAAACCCAAAAAGCCCAUACGUACUCCAAAACGAAAACCCUUCUAUCUUUGGGCUUUAAUGGACCGAAAACCUCUUAAUGGGCCAAGCCAAAACCAAAAACCCAUUUAAGAAUCCCAUGAAAUCCGAAAACCCAAAAAGCCCUCUUUGUCUCACUAGUGUAGCCGAUUUUGGUUGCUCUAAGUAUGCUUAUAUAGUAUGUUGCAUUAGGGUUACACCAUGUAAACCCUAAUGAAACAUGGCUCUUCAUUUCCAUGACCCAUGAGUUUGUAACUCCCAUGGAGCAUCCUAUGGACCUUAGCCCAACUAGAUAAUCCACGGAGCAUCUAGCCCCUACGAUGCUUGGAAACGCCAUACGAAUAGCCGCUCCCGCAUCUGGAACGCCUAGGAAACGGAAAUGCCAGUGAAACGGUCAGGAAACGUUUCCGGCAAAUAUCAGUAAUCCCUGAAAUGUUUCUCGCACGUUUCGUUCAUGUUUCCUUUUUUUAUUUUUAUUUCCAUGGGAUUUUAAUAUGCAGAAAUAGAGUAAUGGGCUUUGUCCUAUGUCAGUUGCCAAUGCUAUUACCCUACAAUUAGUCAAUUAGUCGAUUAGAAUUUAGAAGUUUGUAAACAUAAGGCUGCUGCGUACUCUUUUCAUUGUUGCUCAUCGACUUUUAUAGUUUUUUUUAUUGCCUCUCUGUGUCGUCGAUCAAGAAGACAAGAACAAGAAAAAAAAUUCAAAACUCAUUCACACAUUCACCACUCACCAAUUCGAUUAUUAUGGCUUCUUCUCAAGAACAAGAAACACAAGGAUCAUCUACAUCAGUAGACCAACCUCCAUUGUGGGACUUUGUGACUAAACUCAAUAAACUUGUUGGAGCAGGAGGAUGUUGGAAGUUCAAGUGUAACCUUUGCAGUGAUACCAGACAAGGAUCAUAUUCUAGAGUUAGAGCACAUUUACUUGGCAUAAAAGGUAAUCUAUUAUUCAAAUUAGUGUGUGUGUCUAUGUAAUUUUCGAUUUUUGAUUUAUGUUAUUGACUUGUUGUAUUGAUUCAUGAAAAUUUGUAAAGAAAAAAGAAUAGAGGCAACGAUUUUUGUUUCGAUUCAUCAUUCAUGUAUUUGUUAUAAUUUUUUAUUCAUGUUAUUGUAUUAAAGUAUUAAACUAUUGAUUCAUUAAAAAUGUAAUGAAAUAAGAGGCUGUGAUUUUUGUUUUGAUUCAUGUAUUUGUUGCACUUUUGAUCCAUGUUAUUCAAUAGAACUAUUUAUUCAUGAACAAUGGUAAAGUCAAAUAAAUAAGAGGUUUUUGAUUCACUUUCUUAUUUUGAUUAAUGUAAUGUAAUUGAAUUUAUAAUGUCAAUGAUGACCUUAUUUUUUUCAUGUUGUGUAAUUGAGAAUGUCAAUGUUAUUAUGUUGUUUAAUAUAGGUACCGGGAUUUCUAUUUGCAAGAAAGCAACAACAGCUGACAAACUUAACAUCACACAAUUAGAAGAUGCAUAUGAAAAGAAGAAAACUGAGUCACAAGCGAAAGAAGUCCGGUUGCGAUGUGAAGCUAGUGUUGGAUUUAAAAAAAGAAAAGGUAUUUCAAGACCUAUUGAAAGAGCUUUUGGUGUUGAAAUUAGGGACCAACUGGAUCAAGAAAUAGCUAGAAUGUUUUAUACCGGAGGUUUACCUUUUAAUCUUGCAAGAAAUCCACACUAUGUCAGGGCUUUUCAGUUUGCUGCUAACAACAAAAUUGAUGGUUAUGUACCUCCUGGUUAUAAUAAGCUAAGAACAACAUUACUACAAAAAGAAAAAGAUAUUGUUCAAAAGCUAUUGGAGCCACUUAGGUCUACAUGGAAAGAAAAAAGUGUGACUAUUGUGAGUGAUGGUUGGAGUGAUCCUACAAGAAAACCUCUAAUCAACUUCAUGGUUACCUCGGGUAAUGGUCCUUUGUUUCUAAAGGCAGUAAAUUGUUUUGGGGAAGUGAAAGAUAGAUUUUUUAUUGUCGAAGAGAUGAAGGAAGUCAUACAUUGAAUUGGUCAUGAAAAUGUUGUGCAAAUAAUUACUAACAAUGCAACAAAUUGUAAGGCGGCUGGAGAGAUUAUAGAGAGUCAAUUUCCUCACAUUUAUUGGACACCAUGUGUUGUUCAUAAGCAUAAUCUUGCUUUAAAGAACUGUAACAUCCCGGAAAUUUAGAAGUAAAGUUGAAGGGCUAAAAGUGUAAAUAAGAAGGUCGACUCGGCGAAUCGAGUGGUGUUUCAGGUCGCGUGAUAAGUGACCAACUCGGCGAGUCGCAUGGGUAGACUCGGCGAGUUGGUGUUGUAUGGAGAAAACCCUAAUCCAGGGGGUUGAGCCCUAUAUAAAGAAAAUAAUACCCCCUCCCUAGCCUCUUUACCUUCCCUUUGAGUUCCAGAGGCCCUAAAUUCGUGUGAGCUUUCCUUUGUGAGUAAUUAGAGCCUUGGAGGAGGAUUUCUUGGAAGGGAAUUGAAGAGAUAGAAGAUUUGGAGCAAGGGUCUUUGUAGAGAUUUGGUUCAUUCUCCAGUAGGAGCUUGCAUUGGAGGUAAGAGAUCUGUUCUUGAGCUUUUGUGCAUCUAGAUCUAUCAAUUGUGGGGUUUUUGGAGCAUAAAUGAGGUUUAUCUCGAGUUUGGUGUAAGAUCUGAGGUUGCUACCUCAGAUCUAGGAUUGUAGUCGUCCAGGAAGCCAUAAAGUUCAUUCCCAAGAGUUUUUAGUGAAGCCUUCUUGUCCCAAACCCUAUCCCAAGAGUUUUCUAUGCUUAGAUCUCUUUGGAUUCACGUAAAGUUUGCAACUUUACGUGAGGAAUAGCUUGUGGAAGGGUAGAUUUAUGGAUUCGAGCCCCUGCAUGGCUUGGAAAGCCACUGAAUGGAUUAAGAGCUAAUGGUACUCAACGAGUCACAUGAGUGUACUCGGCGAGUCGCAUGAAGAUAGGCAGAAACUCGGCGAGUUGGUUGAAGAUAGCCUUGGACUCGGCGAGUAUGUUCUUGGACUCGGUGAGUCUGGUCGUGAGGUCCUAACCUUUCCUGGUUGAGCUGUGAAUCGGUGAGUCAAGGGAUGACUCAGUGAGUUGAGCAGGAAGUGACUCAGAGUUCUUGGGACUCAGCGAGUCUUCGGGCGACUCGGCGAGUUGGGUCGCGAUAUGGGAGUUUUCAGAGUUGAGGGACUCGACGAGUCAGAGGGCUGACUCGGCGAGUAGGGUCAAUCAGGAAGUUUGACUUUGACUGAGGACUUUGACUUUGACCAAGAGUUGACUAGUUGUCUUCCAAGGGUAAUUUGGUAAUUUUUGGUAUUUAUUGAGUUCGGUCUUUUGGUAUUGUCAGUGGUGGAGUUUGUGUCAGAGGUUGGAGUAGCGUGAUCUUAUCUUUUCAGUCAGCAGUUGCAUGGUGAGUUAUCCUCACUAUAUUGAUAGGCUCUAAGGCACCAAGGUCGGCCCUUUAUCGGAUUGUAAUCUGGGUAUCGUUGUUAUGUUGUUGCUUUGCUAUGUUUGCAUCUUGGUAAUUACGUUGGUAUAUGUUAGAGACCUGGUUAAGGUUGGUAUCCUAGUAUAUAGGAUGAUGCUAUGCUAGUGACCAGUUAGGUCGGUAUCCUGUUUGGAGUAUGUUAUGUUAUGUUAUCUGCUAGAUCGGUUUGAUUAGAUGUGAAUUGUUAUAUGAUUGUUUGUUUAUGUGCACAUGGUUGUCGGACUAGGGUUAGGUUGAGGUGGGUCCUGCUUUGUGCUGUAGGCCAACACACCCAGGGCGGACCGGUUAUCCCGAAGGCCAGUGAGUGGCCGGAUAGGCUGUAGGCCCUAUGAGGGCGGACCAGACGUGUCGCGACUCGGAGAGUGGACCAGGCCGACUAAAGGCCCGGUGCGGGAGGACCAGUCAUACUGUAGACUCAGAGAGUGGACCAGCUAGGUUGAAGGCCCAGUGUGGGUGGACCAACCACACUGCAGACUCGAUGGAUAUCGAUAGACUCGGAGGGUGGACCAGGUGGAUUGAAGGCCCGAUAGGGCAGACCAAUCACACAGUAGACCCGAAGUGCAUGGCUAUUCUGUUCGGUUAUGUAAUGUUAUGCGUGGUAUAUGUGGUUGGUGUUUUGGGGGUAUCUCACUAAGCUUUCGGGCUUACAGUUGUGGUUUAAUGUUUUUCAGGUACUUCAGGAGACCGUGGCAAGGAGAAGGCGUGAUCAUACAGUUCCUCAUGUUUAUGUUUUACGAUAGGGUUCUGGGAAGACUCUGAUAAUAAUUGUAUUGAAAACCUUUUUGUAAUGACUUAACGAAACUGGGUUGUUUUUUGAAAAUUUUAAAUUGGCUUCAAUUUUUAGAGUGUUACCAGUUGGUAUCAGAGCCUUGGUUUGAGUGAAUUGGAGGAACAUUCAUUUGAAUAUAGUCUCAAAUCAAGGAGAGUUUUCAAAGGAGAAAUUAAAAUGGUUUUCAAAAUGAGUAAAAGAGGACGCGGAGGUACGAUCAGCCGAAGCUAGUAAGUAGCCCCUAAAUACCAUGCAAGUUAUUUGUUUAUGUAAUAUGAUAGAACAACAUGCUAGUACUAGGCUAGGGAUCUUCAAGAAUUUCAUGAUAGUGUUGCCUGAUUUGUGAUGCCUGCUAGCCUAGGGUUUCUUUCUGUAUGAGAUAUCCAGUGUUCCUCUAGGAGUGAGGGUUGAGUGCUUGGUAUGCCUGUUCUUCACUAGGAUGUUGUCGUGAUACUUGGUAUAAAUAUGGGUAGGUGAGGAAGGUAGUAUGGGCCCGUACUACUGAAAGCACAUGACCCAUACGCGUAUCAAGGAAGUCACAACCCUAGGGCGGUGUUGAGAGUCGGCUCCCGGGUUAGUGGGAGGUAUCUGAUGUUGCGGUAUUUUCUUUCAGUAUGGUGGUUGCAAGGCAUGCUGGGAGCGGAUCCGGAUUAGGAUCGGGAGCAAGAAAGGGCGGUCAGGGUGGGUCAGCACCACCCGAGGUUAUCGGUCAGACGAGCACAAAUGAGUUGAAUGCUAGGAUUCGUGAGAUCCUACAUGAUGAGGUUGUUGCGAUGUUACGGGCUGAGUUGCCGGAACUGUUUGGGUCGAUCAAGACUGCUAUGGUUAAGUAUUUUGAUGACCGUUAUGCAUCUCUUACAGAGACGGCUACCGCGGCAGCUACAGCGGCUGUAGCAGCGGCAGGGGGAGGAGCUGGUAGAGGUUUUCAGUAUCGGGACUUCGAUAAUACGAAGCCCUUACCUUCGAUGGAGUUCAGGACCUGAUUGUUGCUAUGAGAUGGUUGUCAGACAUUGACGGGUGUUUCUUCACGUGCUCAUGCCCUGAUGAUCAGAGGGUGAGUGUGAUCUGAACCUUUUGAGGCUCGAGGUGAAGGAUUGGUCGAGGUUGACCACGGGAUCGUAUUCGGAUGUGCAGCGAGUUGCGGUUUCUUGGGAUCAGUUCAGUGAGAUGUUCAGUACCCGCUAUGUUCCACGAGUUGAGAGGGAGAGAUUAGCUCAGAAGUUCCUGGAGCUGAAGCAGGAUUCCGAGUUGGUGACGGAGAUCACAAGGAUGUUCACUAAGAGGGCGAUGUUUUGCCCUGAGUUUGCUUCUGAACAAGCCCAGAUGUCCCGAUAUUUGAGUAUGCUGAAGAGGGAUAUCAGGCAGUUUGUGUCUAUGAAUAGGUGCGAGACAUUUUUGGAGUUGCAGGAAGCCGCUAGGCGGUGGGAGUUGGAGAUCGAGUUACAGUUGAGAGAGCAGAGGCAGGCUCCGGUAUAGUCGCAACCGGCGCCGAACAGUCUAAGACCGUUGAUGUCAGUUCGAGCAGUCAGAGCAGACGCACUUGUGAGAAGUGCGGGAAGGGUCAUGUCGGAGCUUGUAGGUCCGAUGGUGCGUGCCACAAGUGCGGCAGAGAGGGGCACUACGCGAGGGAUUGUCGUCAGUCAGCCCCAGUCCAAGAUAUGAGGAUUUGCUAUCAGUGUCAUCAGGUUGGCCACAUGAGGGCCAACUGUCCACAGCUAGUUGGGAGGUUGGUGUAGGCUCCAACACCGGCCACAUUAAGGAUUACGGGUGGAGGUCAAGGUGGAGCAGAGCCCCUGAGGGCUUAGGGUCGUGCUUUUCAUCUUACAAUAGAGGAGGUCAAGGCAGUUCCGGAUGUAACUACGGGUACGUUUCCUUUUUGAUAUUUUGUUAUCCUGUGAUUAUUAUGGAGUAUUGUAUAUCUGCUAGUUUCGUUGUGUGAUUUUUGGUAUUGUAUCUGUUGCUCCUUGAGGAUUAUGGUAUGGUUAAGGGUUUGGCAUUGGGAGUGUUGUUGGUUAUCAUCCAUGGGGAUUAUUAGUGGGAAAUCAGGCUUUUGGUCUGAAUCUCGGGUAGCAUCUGCAGUUUGAAGAGUGGUUAGCUGAAGGUCGGGCUUCUUUCAAGUCCGAGAUGAUCAGUGUUGAUAUGUGAUUUUGUGAAGGUUGUUUGUUCUAGUGGGAAUCAGUUCGCGUGUAAAGGAAUGUGCUGUGCAGGGAUGUUAAGGGAGGUCGGUUAUGGCGACUGGUGGUUGAUAGUCAGAGCUCUAAGUGGGGAGAAUUGGAAAAUUCUCUGGAAGAUCGACAAGCAUGAGAGGUUGAUUAGCUGUCUGGGAUUCAACAGCGGUUCUAUCAACCAAGAGCGUAGGCUGGUAUGAGCAAGUGACAGGCAAGCGGGGCAGGUUACAGACCAAGGGUUUUGUAAAAAGGGUGAUUUAGUGUGGAAGGCCUAGGAUUAGGCCGGAAUUGAGUAUGUAGGAUGGAGUUAGAGUUCGGAACCCCCGAGAGGGCUAGACCUGUAUGCAUGGAAGAGUUUUCCAAAGGGAUAAUUUGGGAUGAUAAAUGUUGGAAUAGUGUCUAAGGCUGCAACUAUAUUAGGCAAGUAUUUGACUCGAUUGUACAUGGUCCUUUUAGGUUGCCUUCACCAUAGCAACUUGACAGGAUGAUUUAUUAUGAGAGAAUAGAUAUUAUUAAUAUAUUAUGAGAAUAAUAUAAGGAAUAAUAAUAUUGUUAUUUGAUUAAUAUAAGUCAUAGAUUAAUUAGUAUUAAUUUGGUGACUUAAAGAGAUUAAUUAAAUAAGAGGGUAUAAAUUGUCAAUUGUUUGAUAGUUACACUUUGGGCUAUGAAUCCUUAAGAGAUAGGGUAUGGCCGAUUUCUAGGGCUAGGAUAAGCCUCAAAUCGUCCAAGGAUUAUCUAAGGAAAGGAUUAGGAUUGCUUAGAGUCUAAGUUAUCCAAUUAGGGUUUAAGGGUGAAACCCUAGGAGCCUUACAAGUAUAAAUAGACCCCUUGGGAUAGGGAAAUCGACAUCUCUUCUACAGCAAGAAAACCCUGGCCGAUUUCCUCCUCUCUCCUCUCUCUCAAAUCAUUCUCUUUGCUAGUUGGUGUUUGUAAGCCAUUAGAGGAGUGACAAUUGUGACUCUAAAGCUCCAAGAAAACAAGAUCAAACAAGAGAUUCAAAGGUAAACUUCUAGAUCUGAUUUUGUAUUGUUCUUAUACCUAAUUAGUCNNNNNNNNNNNNNNNNNNNNNNNNNNNNNNNNNNNNNNNNNNNNNNNNNNNNNNNNNNNNNNNNNNNNNNNNNNNNNNNNNNNNNNNNNNNNNNNNNNNNNNNNNNNNNNNNNNNNNNNNNNNNNNNNNNNNNNNNNNNNNNNNNNNNNNNNNNNNNNNNNNNNNNNNNNNNNNNNUUUCAUAUUUAUCUUAUGGAAACUUACCUUUAUCAUAUUAGAUCAACCCAAAUCCGAUUUUAUGAUAUAUAUGACUAUAUUUUUGAUCUAAUUGAAGAUAUUUAUCAAUUAAUAAAAUAUUUAAUUUCCUUAUAUGAUAAUUAUUAAUUAUUUUGAUUAAAUUGGUAAAUUGUUUUUUCAAGAAAUCAUAAAUAAAUCAAAUAUGGAUAAUUAUGUGAUUAAUUGUUAAUUUGAAUUAUUUGUUGUUUGAUCCUUUAUGUUUUAAAUGUUUAAAAAACUUGCCCUCAAGUUUUGAAAUUUAUGUUUUGUGAUUAAAAGUUUAAUUUAGACAAUUUAAAUUUCAAACCCUAGAAUUUUACAAGUUUAAAAUCCAACCCUAUACUAAUAUAAUAUUACAAGAUUAAUAUCUAUAUAUGUAUAACUUAAAUGCUAGUCUUACCGUUAGUAGGCCUCAUUCACGAAGUCGCUCUAUAAGGUGGGUAUAAGGUUGUGGCGUAUAAAAUGGCGCUUAAUGGAUGUACACUCACACCCACCGCUUGAUUGAUCGGUGGAGGGUUGUUAGUCGAACAGGUAGGAUAGGGCAACCUCAUCCUCUCAUUAAAAUUUCCCAAUCUUAGUUACUUUAGGAAAAGUGAAUUGAUGCAAUCCCAUGAAAUUACACUUUGCACCUUGCUAAGAAGUUAGUGGAGCGUGUGUGGUUUACCGGCACACUAAUUGGUUCUAAGCGAAGGUGGCAAAGGGUGAUUCAUUGUUUAUCAUAGUUCGAAGGAGCGUGUGUGGUUUACCGGCACAUCGAAUAUGUGAUCGUUGCAAUGAAGGCACCAUGUGAAUUUGCAUGGUAGUUCACCCCCGCUUUGUGAUCCUCGGUAUCCCAGUCACAAACAAGAGGGGCAUAUCGAGAUUUAAACAUGCCAUUGAAAAGUUCAAUGAAUCUCAUCCAAAACUAGGAAUUCUCAAUACAUUUAGGACUUAAAGUUAUGUUUUUCAUGGUGGAGAAUUAGUGAAUCAUCAUUCACUUACCUUCAAAUUGUUUGCAUGUUAGAUUACGGCAUCCCUUUUCUAAUAUGUAAAUAUUGUUGUUGGAUCCUAGCCCUAAUUUUUCUUAUUGGGUGAUAAUUAGGGAUUCAUAUUCUAAUCUAUCUUUGUCCUUUCUAUUUGUAGAUGUCGAACGCAAACAACGCUGCUGCUAGUUCUUUCACAUUGAUGAGCCUUUGUCAAAAGGUCACUUUCGAUGGGACGAACUUUAGCGAAUGGAUAAGAUACAUUCGCACCAUUGCUCGCUAUGAGGACAAGGAGUAUGUCCUUGAUGAGAAGCUCGAGAAAAUCAACCCUGAAAUCGCUACUCCGGCUGAAAUGACCGCUUUUGAAACUCACGAGCGUGAUGCAACGAAGGUACAUUGCAUCAUGAUAGCCACUAUGAACUCCGAAUUCCAAAAGUCCUAUGAGGACAUGUACCCGUACGAGAUGCAUCAAGACUUAUUGGAGAGAUACCACCAAAACGCGAGACAAGAGCGUUAUGAGAUUUUCACUAACAUGAUUUCCGCUAAGAUGGGUCAUGGAGAGUCUCUUACCGUGCACCUGCAAAAGAUGCAAAGGUAUGUCGACCGCCUUCGCAAGUUAAAUGUUGACUUUGGGGAAGACUUGGCGAUCGACAUGGUGCUUCACUCUUUGCCUCCGAGGUACAAUCAAUUUAGGAUGACCUACCACAUGAACAAAGAGGAGGUCACCCUAAGCAAACUCCAAGGUCUCUUGAGGGUCGCUGAGAGCAACUUCAAGGACAAGUCUGUUGCACCAACUCCCAAUCCACCCGCUGCUCCUGUCUUGGCUAUUGGACAAGGAAAGGGAAAGAAGAGGAAGGCUUCGUCUAAGAACUAUCGCAAGGUUAAAGCCCGAGAUGGUGCCUCUUCUAGUGGGACCAAAGUUGAUCCUGCUAAGCCCUGCCCUAACCCAAAGGAGGCAGAGUGCCACCACUGCCACAAGAUAGGACAUUGGAAGAGAAGCUGCCCAGAGUACCUGCAAGCCAUCAAGGAAGGAAAGAUCAAGCCAUCUUUCGCAGGUAUAUACACAAUUAAAUCUAACGAUUCUAAUCAUGCUAUUUCUUGGGUUCUUGAUACCGGUUGUGGUUACCACAUUUGUUCUAAUGUGCAGGGACUAAGAAGAAGUAGGGAUGUGGAGCAAGGAAGGAUCAAUCUAAUCAUGGGGAACAGAAGAUCGUCGCCUGUGACCAAGAUUGGAGUGUAUUCUUUAGUGCUUAGGAAUAGUUUAUGUUUAGAUUUGAACAAUUGUUGCUAUUCGCCAGAAAUGGCUAGAAACAUCAUUUCAUUUCAUGGUUUAUUUAGACAAGGUUUUAGAUUUUCUUUUAAUAAUGAGAAUGGUUCUAUUUUGGCUUAUCUAAAUGGUGUCUUUUACUUUGAAGCUAUACCAUGUAAUGGAAUUUAUGAAACUGUUAUGAUUGUUGAUAACUUAGGAAAUGAUGUUUUGAACAUAGAUUCUUCCACUAGUAUGGAUAAAGCAUCCUUGUGGCAUUGUCGUCUUGGACAUGUCAACAAGAAACGCAUAGCCCAACUCCAAAAGGAUGGAGUGUUGGAGUCAUUCGACCUUAGGGAAGAUGACACAUGCGAGUCUUUAUUACUUGGAAAGAUGACUAAGUCACCAUUCGCUGGAACGUGCGAAAGGGGCGAGGGUCUGUUGGACCUCAUACAUACCGAUGUGUGCGGAUCGUUUAGAUCUACCACGAAGGAUGGAAACCGCUUCUACGUGACUUUUACCGAUGAUUAUAGUAGAUAUGGGUAUAUCUANUAACAUAAAUUGGAGACUUUUGAAAAGUUUAAAGAGUUUAAAGAUGAAGUCAAGAAUCAAUUAGGCAUGAAGAAAAAGAUGCUCCAACCAGAUAGAGGCGAGGAGUAUCUUAGUAUUGAGUUCCACGACUACCUCAAGGAAUGUGGAAUAGUUUCACAAUUGACCCCUCCUAGGACACCACAACCUAAUGGUAUGGCUAAGAGGAGCAAUCGAACCUUGUUAGACAUGGUUCGUUCCAUGAUGAGUCGAGCUUCUCUUCCAAUUUUGUUCUCGAGGUAUGCCUUAGAUACUGCCGCCCAUAUCCUUAACCGAGUCCCUACUAAGAAGGUUUCCAAUACACCUCACGAGAUGUGGAUGGGGAAAGCUCCUUCGUUGGCACAUAUCAAGGUUUGGGGUUGCGAGGCUUUCGUAAGACGAGAUACUCACGACAAGCUCGAACCUCGAAGUGAGCGAUGUAUUUUCAUCGGCUACCCGCAGACAUCCUUUGGAUAUCUCUUCUAUAGACCGAAGGACAAUGUUGUCUUCGUUGCGAGGAGAGGAGUUUUCCGAGAGCGAGAACUCAUAAGCCAAGGAGACAGUGGGAGGCAAAUCGAGCUUGAAGAGAUUCAAGAGUCGAUAGAUGAAGGAACCUCUACCGCUGGCACUCAACCCGAGGAGGAAACUCCGGUUGAACCGAUUGACGAAUCCUUACCUCUUAGACGUUCCGAUAGAGUUAGAGUUCAACCCCAGUUUUAUGGUUUUCAUAUUACUACCGAAGGGGACACGUAUAUUAGUGAUGGUACACUAAUAAAUCUUGAUGAACCUAAUAGCUAUAAGGAAGCCAUGGCAGGCCCGGAGUCUGCAAAAUGGAAAGAGGCAAUGGAUAGCGAGAUCCAAUCCAUGUAUGAUAACCAAGUUUGGAAUUUGGUUGAUUAUGUGCCCGGACGUAAGACCGUUGGGUGCAAAUGGAUCUUCAAGAAGAAGACCGACGUGGAUGGAAACGUACACACAUAUAAAGCGCGAUUGGUUGCGAAGGGCUUUACUCAAACUCCCGGAGUUGACUAUGAUGAGACCUUCUCACCAGUUGCGAAGAUUAAAUCUAUUAGAGUGAUGCUAGCAAUUGCCGCAUUUCAUGAUUAUGAGAUUUGGCAAAUGGAUGUCAAGACCGCUUUCCUUAACGGAAAGUUGGCUGAGGAUGUUUACAUGGCUCAGCCAGAGGGGUUUGUGGAUCCGAAGCAUCCGAAUAGAGUGUGUAAGCUUGAGAAGUCCAUUUAUGGACUUAAGCAAGCGUCUCGCAGAUGGAAUCUUUGCUUCGAUGAGAAAGUCAAAGAGUUUGGAUUUGUACGAAGCGAAGACGAAUCUUGUGUAUAUGUCAAAGCCAGUGGGAGUAUAGUAAGCUUCCUCGUUCUAUAUGUCGAUGACAUAUUACUCAUAGGAAACGACAUCCCGACUCUGCAGGAGGUUAAGUCCUGGCUCGGGAAGUGCUUCGCUAUGAAGGACCUCGGAGAGGCUUCUUACAUUUUGGGAAUAAGGAUAGUAAGAGAAAGAAGUAAGAGACUAAUUGGACUUAGUCAGAAUACUUACUUAGAGAAGGUACUAAAACGUUUUAGUAUGGAAAACUCAAAGAAGGGAGAACUACCGAUACAAAGUAAUGCCAAAUUGAGUAAGACUCAAAGUCCGAGUACCGAAGCUGAGAUAGCAGAAAUGAGCCGAGUACCAUACGCUUCCGCAGUUGGCUCAAUCAUGUACGCUAUGACUUGUACUCGCCCUGAUGUAGCCUUCGCUUUGAGCAUGGUUAGCAGAUAUCAAGGGAAUCCUGGCAGAGCACAUUGGAUUGCGGUGAAGAAUAUCCUUAAGUACCUUCGGAGGACGAAGGAAUGGUUCUUAGUCCUCGGAGGGAGUGAUGACUUGAAGGUGCGAGGGUAUAGUGACGCCAGUUUUCAGACCGACAGGGACAACUACCGUUCGCAGUCGGGCUGGGUCUUUACCCUAAAUGGAGGAGCAGUGACAUGGAAGAGUUCCAAGCAGGAAACCGUAGCUGAUUCAACGUGCGAAUCAGAGUACAUUGCAGCGAGCGAAGCGUCGAAGGAGGCAAUAUGGCUAAAGAACUUCAUCGGUGAUCUUGGAGUUGUACCUGCCAUAAAGGAGCCCAUGGAGAUUUUCUGUGAUAACGAAGGAGCGGUUGCCUUGACCAAGGAACCGAGGGAUCAUGGUAGAUCAAGACAUAUCGACAGAAAAUAUCACUUCAUUAGACAUCGUGUAGAAGAAGGACAACUCGUAGUGAAGAGGAUAUCAUCAGAAGAUAACCCAGCAGAUCCGCUUACGAAGGGACUGAGUAGGGUUAAGCACUUGCAGCAUGCUAGGAGUAUUGGGCUGAAGGAUGAUAUUAGCAUAGAUUAGAUAGUAUUAGAAACGUGUAAUAGAUAAAUGUAAUUAACAUUUGAUGAUUAAAUAAAGGAGUUUUAUUUAUGAGUAAUGUUACUGUCUUAUGUUAAUUGUUUAACUAUUGUUUCACUUUGCAUGUUUUGACUUCCAGAAUAAUUGAGUUUAUUAAGAAUAAUCGAAUUAUUCAAAUUGUCCACAAUCGUUCAUAUGUUGGAAGUAGAUAUGAAUGAAGAUUGUCAUGAAUUGGUGUGUAGAUUGUCUAAAUGGUGUUAGACAUAGCAAAAGAUUGCUGCAACGUUCAUGAGUGCUUAUGAACUAGUUUUGAGCAUUGGAACAAACCCGCGCUUGCUGGAAUCACCUUAUGGAAUAUGAUAUAAAAGGGUGAUCGCAAGACGAUAAUAUCAUAUAGUCUUAAAACCUAGAUAUAUGGUUUGUUAUUUGUUAAUUGAUUGUACAUUGAUAAUGCGAAAACGCAUCAGUAACUCGGUGUUAUAAAACGCAUUGUUGUGUAUAGUUGAUUAAUGAAUAAGUAAAUGCAUAUAAGUCGAAGUUUAUCUGUAACUUUUAUCCUAAGAAGGUAAAAGCGAUAUCUCGGCCGCUCGAUGAUUUGAUUUGACUUAUGUGUUGGGCCCGGUCAGAACUGAAUUGAUGUGUUCGAUUAAGUUCUAUGUCAAAUAAAUCGGCGAUCGAGAAACCAAAUGCUAGACUAAUCAUUCCAUAGAAUUGUCAGCAUGAUAUCUAACAGAGGACUGUACGAUCCCUUAUCUAAAGGACAAGAUUGAUUAGAUCAGAUUUGGACAGCGUCUUUGAGAGCUACGAUUGCAAAUUGGAUUGUACUUGUGCAUAUAGUUACUAGACUUAUCCAAGUGGGAGACUGUUGGAAUAGUGUCUAAGGUUGCAACUAUAUUAGGCAAGUAUUUGACCCGAUUGUUCAUGGUCCUUUUGGGUUGCCUUCACCAUAGCAACUUGACAGGAUGAUUUAUUAUGAGAGAAUAUAUAUUAUUAAUAUAUUAUGAGAAUAAUAUAAGAAAUAAUAAUAUUGUUAUUUGAUUAAUAUAAGUCAUAGAUUAAUUAGUAUUAAUUUGGUGACUUAAAGAGAUUAAUUAAAUAAGAGGGUAUAAACUAUGAAUUGUUUGAUAGUUACACUUUGGGCUAUGAAUCCUUAAGAGAUAGGGUAUGGACGAUUUCUAGGGCUACGAUAAGCCUCAAAUCAUCCAAGGAUUAUCUAAGGUAAGGAUUAGGAUUGCUUAGAGUCUAAGUUAUCCAAUUAGGGUUUAAGGGUGAAACCCUAGGAGCCUUACAAGUAUAAAUAGACCCCUUGGGAUAGGGAAAUCGGCAUCUCUUCUACAGCAAGGAAAACUUGGCCGAUUUCCUCCUCUCUCCUCUCUCUCAAAUCAUUCACUUUGCUAGUUGGUGUUUGUAAGCCAUUAGAGGGGUGACAAUUGUGACUCUAAAGCUCCAAGAACAAGAAGAUCAAACAAGUGCUUCAAGGUAAGCUUCUAAUUCUGGUUUUGUAUUGUUCUUAUACCUAAUUAGCCAUUAGAAGUCUUGGAUUCAGUGCAUGUUUAAUUAGAGAAACUUAGAUCCAAACAUUAGGGUUUGUAUGUGCACAUAGGAAUGUUCAUAUGUCUAAAACCCAUCAAUAAAUGCUAGUCGAGAGGUCCGGAUAGACUGAAGGCCGGUGGGCAUACCAGUCAGGCUGAAGGCCCUGGAGGGCGGUCCAGACAUGCUGAAGGUUCUGAGAGUGGUCUAGAUUGGCUGAAGGCUUGGUAAGGCGGUCCAGUCAUGUUGAAGACUUCGCAUGUGUCAAUAGAUAUGUAUGAAGAGAUGGAAUGAGCAUGUUGCGAUAUGAUAGCAUCAGAAGGUCUGGCCCCGGGCAUUGAUCAUGAUUAGUGGAAGGUAGUGCAUGGACUUGAGAGUACUGGCGAGCAGAUUUAGAGCAUGUGUGGUGCAUGGGAUAGCAGUUAUGCUAUAAGGGAAUGGUGUAGCGUUGGGCGAGCACCAUGGCACUUGUUGUAGUGACAAGGCGGCCAAGUAGAUUUCCUUGGAUAAGGAAAGGGAAAGGUAUGUAGCUCUGAGAGGGAGUGUAAGUUAAUGGAAGCGAAAGCAGUAGCGCAGAGGUAUGAUUGAGGUGUUUGAAUCAUGGUUAUUGAGCAGAGUGUUUGCGGCAGUGUUAUGGAAUCACAUACGGGUUGGAUGGCUGCGUAGGUCACGGAAGGAGUUCCGCGGGUGUAGAGCCAAAGAGGCUUUGAAGGGAUGCAAGGAUGGAGCCUUAGAUUCCCAGUUUGGUGUGAACAAGGAAUUAUGCUUGUAGCGGUAAUUCAUCCUAGGGGGGAUGUUUGGAGGUGUCAUCAGUGCGUCGGGUUUUCCCAACCCGAGAAUGCUAGAGCUAGUUCAACAUGUGUAUGUGAUGACAGAGAAGAACUCAUGGGAGUUGCUCUAAAGCUGAAGGAAGUGUUGUCAUGUCAGCAUGGAAGGGAUAGAGUUGGACUCAGUAAAGGAUCAAGUUAAGUCUUAGUAGUGAAUUCGGUGAAGGAUAUGUCUGACGAGGAAAAUGAUAGCAGUGCGGUACUGGGUCGGGAUCCCGGUGGUUCAAGGUUAUAUCUAGCUCGUAAGAGUCAAGUGAUUAUUGUGAUCUGGAACGAGUAAAGUACCAUGAAGUGGUACUCGGUUGAUAGGUGUGGUUAUCAAAGGAUGAAACCGGUGGCCGGCUUGAGGCGGUGGUCAGGACACUGCAGGGGAAGAGUUGGGUUUCGGGUUUCGAUGGUAGUGUUUUGAGGAACCUGGUUUGGUUAAUGCUAGGUUGUGCAUUGCAAGAAUAGUUAUUGGAAUUGUGUGUUGCAGCAGGCUUCGGGGACGAAGCCUAAUUUAAGUGGGGGAGAAUUGUAACAUCCCGGAAAUUCAUAAGUAAAGUUGAAGGGCUAAAAGUGUAAAUAAGAAGGUCGACUUAGCGAGCCUAUGGAUAGACUUGGCGAGUCGAGUCACGUUUCAGGUCGCGUGAUAAGUGACCAACUCGGCGAGUCACAUGGGUAGACUCGGCGAGUUGGUGUUGUAUGGAGAAAACCCUAAUCCCGGGGGUUGAGCCCUAUAUAAAGAACAUAAUACCCCCUCCCCAGCCUUUUUACCUUCCCUUUGAGUUCCAGAGGCCUAAAUUCGUGUGAGCUUUCCUUUGUGAGUAAUUAGAGCCUUGGAGGAAAUCUUGGAAGGGAAUUAAAGAGCAAGAAGAUUUGGAACAAGGGGCUUUGCAGAGAUUUAGUUCAUUCUCCAGUGGAAGCUUGCAUUGGAGGUAAGAGAUCUGCUCUUGAGCUUUUGUGCAUCUAGAUCUAUCAAUUGUGGGGUUUUUGGAGCAUAAAUGAGGUUCAUCUCGAGUUUGGUGUAAGAUCUGAGGUUGCUACCUCAGAUCUAGGAUUGUAGUGAUCCAGGAAGCCAUAAAGUUCAUGCCCAAGAGUUGUUAGUGAAGCCUUCUUGUCCCAAACCUUAUCCCAAGAGUGUUCUAUUCUUAGAUCUCUUUGGAUUCACGUAAAGUUUGCAACUUUACGUGAGGAAUAGCUUGUGGAAGGGUAGAUCUAUGAAUUGGAGCCCCUGCAUGGCUUGGAAAGCCACUCAAUGGAUUAAGAGCUAGUGGUACUCAGCGAGUUGCAUGAAGAUAGGCAGAAACUCGGCGAGUUUGAAGAACAACUCGACAAGUUGGAAGAACAACUCAGCGAGUUGGUUGAAGAUAGCCUUGGACUCGGUGAGUCUAUUCGUGAGGUCCUAACCUUUCCUGGUUGAGCUGUGAAUCGGUGAGUCAAGGGACGACUCGGUGAGUUUGAGCGGGAAGUGACUCAGAGUUCUUGGGACUCAGCGAGUCUUCGGGCGACUCGACGAGUUGGGUCGCGAUAUGGGAGUUUUCAGAGUUGAGGGACUCGACGAGUCAGAGGGCUGACUCGGCGAGUAGGGUCAAUCAGGAAGUUUGACUUUGACUGAGGACUUUGACUUUGACCAAGAGUUGACUAGUUGUCUUCCAAGGGUAAUUUGGUAAUUUUUGGUAUUUAUUGAGUUCGGUCUUUUGGUAUUGUCAGUGGUGGAGUUUGUGUCAGAGGUUGGAGUAGCGUGAUCUUAUCUUUUCAGUCAGCAGUUGCAAGGUGAGUUAUCCUCACUAUAUCGACAGGGUCUAAGGCACCAAUGCCGGCCCUUUAUUGGAUUGUAAUCUGGGUAUCGUUGUUAUGUUGUUGCUUUGCUAUGUUUGCAUCAUGGUAGUUAGGAUGGUAUAUGUUAGAGACCUGGUUAAGGUCAAUAGCUUGGUAUAUAGGAUGAUGCUAUGCUAGUGACCGGUUAGGUCAGUAUCAUGUUUGGAGUAUGUUAUGUUAUUUGAUCUGCUAGAUCGGUUUGAUUGGAUGUGAAUUGUUAUAUGAUUGUAUGUUUAUGUGCACAUGGUUAUCGGACUGGAGUUGGGUUGAGGCGGGUCCUGCUUUGCGUUGUAGGCCAACACACCCAAGGAGGACCGGUUAUCCCGAAGGCCAACGAGCGGUCCGAAUAGGCUGUAGGCCCCACGAGGGCAGACCAGACGUGCCGAGGCUCGGAGAGUGGACCAGGCCGACUGAAGGCCCGGUGCAGGCGGACCAGUCAUACUGUAGACUUAGAGAGUGGACCAGGUGGGUUGAAGGCCCGGUGUGGGCGGAUCAACCACACUGCAUACUCGAUGGAUAUCGAUAGACUCAUAGGGUGGACCAGGUGGAUUGAAGGCCCGGUAGGGCGGACCAGUCACACAGUAGACCCGAAGUGCAUAGAUAUUCUGUUCGGUUAUGUUAUGUUAUGCGUGGUAUAUGUGGUUGGUAUUUUGGGGGUAUCUCACUAAGCUUUCGGGGGCUUACAGUUGUGGUUUAUAUUUUUCAAGUACUUCAGGAGACUGUGGCAAGGCGAAGGCGUGAUCGUACCGCUCCUCAUGUUUUUGUUUUACGAUAUGGUUCUGGGAAGACUCUGAUAAUAAUUGUAUUGAAAACCUUUUUGUAAUGACUUAAUGAAAGUGGGUUGUUUUUGAAAUAUUUAAAUUGGCUUGAACUUUUAGAGUGUUACAAGAACAUUUGUUCACCAAGGAAUGUAAAAACAAAUGAACUAACAUAUGAACAGUGCCGCUGAAUAAAAGAAGUUCACGAAGAGGCAUUUGCAAUAUUAAAUUUCAUCAUGAACCAUAACAUGAGGCUCUCGAUUUUCACCAAGUUUACUCCUCUUAGGCUGCUUUGUGUUGCUGACACUCGCUUUGCCUCCAUUAUUGUGAUGCUUAAGAGAUUGAAACUUAUCAAAAAGGGUCUUCAAGCUAUGGUCAUAAGCGAAGAAUAGUGUUCUUAUAGAUUAGAUGACACUGAGAAAGCAAACGCUGUGAAAGAGUAUAUUUUGAAUGAUGAUUGGUGGGAUAAAGUAACAUAUAUUCUUAGUUUCACUGGAGCUAUAUAUGAGAUGAUUAGAGCUUGUGACACUGAAAAGCCAUGUUUACACUUGGUCUAUGAGAUGUGGGAUUCUAAGAUUGAGAAAGUGAAGAUUGAGAUCUACAAGAAAGAAAAACGUCCGAAAUCUCAAAUAAGUUGUUUUUACAAUGUUGUGCAUCGUAUUUUAAUUGCUCGAUGGGCGAAGAAUAACACUCCCCUACAUUGUUUAGCUCACUCUUUACAUCCAAUGUAUAAGAUUUUAAAUUAUACACUUGAUUUGUAUUAUAUAUUUAUGUUUUAACUUUUGGAUGUUUGUAGAUAUUAUAGUGAUGCAUGGUUAAUGGAGGAUUCUACAAGAUGCGCUCCACAUAGGGAUGAAGAUGGGAUAAGGGAGAUGUGGGGCCAAUAAGAGCUUCUUCUAAUGCUCAUUUCUUUUGAAUUUGGGCAUUUAUCGAUUUUCAAAGAAAAAAGUGAAGGAAACACCUUUUCUGGUAGAUGUAACGUUUUUGGGCAGUUGGAAACAGAGAGAUGCUGGAGAGAGGUGAGGUGUUGGAGUCUCCCAUUGAAACUGAUUCCGGUUUCCCAAAUUCCAGUUUCCCAAAUUCCUUUUUUCCUUUAUGGAAACAGAAGCAAGAGAUGAAGGAAGAAGAUGUGACAAUUGAUUACAGUUUUUCACAUCAUUAUAUAGUCCGCGAUAUAAUAUUAAGUUAUCUAGUGUAGGAGUGUUCAAAACCGGAUAUCCGAAAAUUUGGAUAUCCGAAUUUCGGAUAUCCCAAAAUUCAGAUAGUGUAUUAUUGGUAUCUAAAUCCGUAUCCGAAAUUUCAGAUAUCCGAAUUUUCGGAUACGAAUUCGGAUAUCAAUAUCGGAUAUCCAAAUUUUUUGGCUUUUUUGUUAUUAUCAAAUAUCGAUUAACUUAAAAUAACCUAUUUUAAAAUAUAUUAAGUUGUUAAUUGUCUAUAAGAUGCAACUCAACCCAACAGUUACAAACCACUUGCAAUUCAAAACAAAAAAGACGUUGAGCCAUCAUGUAUUAAAUGUUAAAACAUUUGUAACCACAAUUAGACUCAUUGUUCGGAUAGACCUAAAAAGAUAAAAACAUUUCGCUCUUAAUGUCCUAAUAAAUAAAACAUAACCACCUUAAAAAAAACUAUAAUUUCAGUUUUAGUUGCAAGUCAUCAUAUGUAUCGAUUUUGAAAGUAAUCCUAUAAGCUCCUUUAUAUUUGUUUUAUGUGGAAAAAGAAAAGACACUUCCAUUUGUCAUGAAGAUUAUGUUCAUCUGUUUCAAGUUAAUAAUAUUAUUAGUUAACAGAUUCGUACUUAACAUUUUGCCUUUUCAAAAUGUUCAUAACCAUCUUAUAACAAAAAUAUAAAUCAUACAUUCCAUAUUAAAAGUAAACCUAUUUAUUAUAUAAAAGCAUUUAGUUUACCUUGUGAAUAAUAAAUAAAAUAUGAUAAAAAUAAUAAAAAAUAAAUUUUUGGAUAUCGGAUAUCCGAAAUAUUCAAAAUUUUAGAAAACGAGUAUUUGUAUCCGAAAGUGAUAGCAGUACAAAGAGGUGCAACAUGUGCAGAGAGAGAAUUGCUAAUGCUAUCAUGUCACAUGGAUACGUAACAAUGUAAGUAUUUGUAUGACUUUUCGUACAAACAUCUCCAAAACACUUCUGAUUAGAGCAUUUUAAAACUAUUUCUACUGUCAAAGCAGUACUAAUUUUCUCACAAGCAAAGCCACAAACACCUUGUGUGCAAACUUAUCAACCACUUUCCAUAGUCUUCAAAGUCCCUCUGUUUGAACCAGCAGUUGGCAACUCACAGACAGGUCGAGGUGGAAAUGGAGGCGGAGGCUAGUUUCUAUGUUUUAUCAUAAGCCCACUGUUAAAAGAUCCAUGUUAAUAAUAAUUUUAUAACAGGAAUGAUACUGAGUAAAUUGGCACAUAGUAGUAGAGAGCUUACCCUUUGCAAUUUUUCCCCCAUUGUUUCUGUUGUUCGAUCAUUACAGAUUGUCCAAAAAGAUCAAGCUGAUAAAUUUAUAAUCCAUCUCCAAGAUUUGAUCCCACAUAAAUUACAAACUCCUACAUCUCCAAAUUUAUGAAAAACAUACAAAAGUCAGAAAGUCUAUAAAGAGAAGUUGUUCAUUCGGAAAUGACUACCGGAUACAUUAUGACAAAUUAAUUAUACGAGUACAAUUCAGCAAUUAUUCACCAAAUAACAAAAGAAAAAAUAAUUGAAAAAUGAAUCAUAAACAAUAAAACACAUAUCAUGGUCCCUCCAAAGAAGUACACUAAAUAGAAAUACCAAAUAUGCUCUGAAAGGAAAAAACAUGGAGCUAAUAAAUAUAUGGCAGUGAAAGAUAAAUAGCAUUUCUGUUCACGAUAAUUCACAAAUAUAGAAUCAUAUUUAGCCGUGUUAAUAUCGAUCUACUUAAUGAAAAUUACAUCAACAUAAUCUUAAUGGGUUUAAUUAGUAUUAAAGCGGGUCAGAAGUCAUGCAUAAGACUACAUUAAAUUAGGCGGUAUAUUAUCAAAAUGACUCAUGAUUUGAAAGUAUUUAACUUGUUUGUUUGUACUACAUUAAGUUAUUAUUAUUCUUAUCCUUGUGAUUUCUUCUACAACUUUAAAAGACAAUGAUAACUUUAGUCUUCACAACCAAUCCUAGUCCACCAUACACCAACUUAAUUCCUUUUGCAAUCCAUUGUGGUACUCUCACGUUUUACAGCCCUAAUCAUAUUAAAUCAGUAAACAUACCAUGUUAACAAACGAAUAUCUAGACGUAAAUAGAACUUUUAUCGAAAUACAUCCUUGGAUAUCUAAAAUGUUGGUUGAAUGGCAGUAAUUUAAUUUAUACGUUAUGGAAGUAAAAGAAGUCAAAAGGCAUAGAUAAUGGCGCACCUUCACAAAAAAAUAUAGUCAUCCUCGUGGAGGCGUGGGAUUAGAGAGACGACGGGCCAAUAGGAGCCUCCUAUACUAGUCUUUUUUUUCAAAUUUGGGCAUUCAAUAAUUCCCAAACUCAAAAGUGAAGACAACUUUUCAGGUAGAUCCAUCAUCUUUGGGCACUUGACAAUGGUGAGAUGUUGGAGGGAGGUGAGGUGUUGGAGUCCCGUUGAAACUGAUUCCAGUUUCUCAAAUCUUUCUAUGCAAAGCUUAGUAAGAGAUGAAGGAAAAAGACCGGACAACCGACUAAAAUCAGUCACAUCUUCAUAUGGUCCGCCAUAUAGAUGUAGGUAACCAAGUGAGGUUGGAAAACUCUGUGGGCCCCACUCUGACAUGGGCUUCUUCAACCCUCCUAUGGUAAGGUGACACAGUUUUGGUGGCCAAAGCCCACCAGGAAAGGAAGCAUCCAUACUUGUACAGUUUUGUAUUUGCAAAUGUGUUAACGAGGCAAGAUUCGGCAACUCAUGGUCAGGAAAUGGAAAUGACUCCAGACUUGGACACUCUUCUAUUCUGAAUGUGGUCAGAUGGAUGAAGUACUUCAAUUCAUUCAUCGAUUUAAGUUUCUUGCAGUUCCAGAUGGAAAGUGACUUGAGCUUCUGCCCUCCUCCUGUUGGGAAAGACACAGAUGUAAUUGAAUCACAGGUAAAAAUAAACAAUGACUGAAGACUAUCUGGACAGCUGCAAUGCUGUAAGCUGUCACAAUCAGAUACCCACAACCACCUAAGAGAUUUUAGGUUGCUCCCACAAUUAUCCUCCUCUUUCUCUCCUAAACUCACCAAAUUUGAACAAUAAAGUACCUUCAACCUCCUUAAAUUCGCAAGAAGCUUACCUGCCUCUGCUUCAGAUUCCCACAGGUAUCUUAUUUCACUACAGCAUUCUAUUCUUACUUCUUCAACUUCCCUAAGAUACUUCAUAACACCUCCCCACACCUCAUGAGUAAGACCUGAAAUAUCAUAUAAUAUCAACUUGGUGACUGAUGAAGCGACAUGAACCAGGCUUGUCAACACACCAUGACCACAUCCUUUUACUGUCAUAACUCUGAGUAAAGGUAGUUUUUCAAGUGAGACUUCAACCAGAUUAGGACAAAAUAGAAUAAUAAGCUCUUUAAGGCAUGGAAACACUGCUGCAUCUACAACCCCAUUGUUAUUGGUUGACCAUACCCCCCAUGAUGGCAUACUAUCAAAAGUUAGAAUUUCAAGGGAUGGGAAUGCAACACCUGUUCCAAGCAACUCCCAACCUACAACUUUCACCUUACUCAUCUUCCCAAUAUACAACUCCUUAAGUGAUGGUAGCUGCCCAAGUCUUGGUAGAGAUGUACAUUCUUCACACCCAUAUAUCGACACGUGAGUCAACCUAAGAAACGAAGGAUCCCCAACCCAAUUAGGAAACUCUAUACCCGCAUAUGACACAAUUUCAAGCUUCUUCAAACUAUCAGUUUGAGGCUUCAGCUCAGUAAGGACCUCCUUAUCAUGUGUCUCCUUUCGAAAAACAUUCAACUCAGACAACCCAAAACUCACAGCAAACUCCAACAUAUGAAGCCUCUUUUGCAAUAACCCAUAACCCCAAUCCAACUCUAACUCGGUAAGCCUCUUUUGUGAUAAGUGUGAGCCGCGUGCCUCCGUUUCAUUUUGUACAUUGCCCAACCCCCAAAUGGAAAUUUUCCCAUGGAGAUUUUGCAAGUUUUUAAGCUCGGUUAUUGCAAAUCCGUUUUCACCACCAAUUAUGAUCUUGGAGAGAGUUUGUAGGCCUUUCAACUCACCAAUCCCUAAGGGCAUCUUCUUCAAACAAGGAGUAUCCCUAAUGUCCAAAUGCCUCAAAUUUUUAAGCUUUAAGAAGCUAUUGGGCAACUUAGUUAAACAUCUACAGCCAAAAAGGAUCAAUGUCUGGAGAUUAUAAAGCUUGUAGACAUUUUCUGGUAAAAGUUUGAUAUAAGUUCGAGAUAAAUUCAGAUACCGCAAGUGCUUUAAACUGCCAAUGAAUUCGGGUACCUCGCUUAUGCCAAGAUGACUCAAACUUAGGACCCUUAACAAUGGUAACUCCUGAAGUAAGUUAUCCAGGACCUUAUUUGAUAAGUAGAAUGUUUCCCUCUUUCUUAUCGCCCCAACAGAUAAGGCUAAUAAUGUUCUCAAACUUUUAGCUCCUUUUAGUGGCUCGAACCUUCCGGAAACCAUGUAUUCCUCACGAACAAAUGACAGAUGACGGUACUUUUCGAAUGAUUCAUUCCUAUAUUCUUUCUCCAUCCCAAUGUCUACCCUUGAAAAAAACUCUCCAGCAACAGAUGUGGCCAAGUCACUCAUGAGAUCAUGCAUCACAAACAACGAUUUGUCAUUUGGUGCAGCUUGAAAAAAUGACCUUGACCACAACGCAUUAAAAUACUCGAGACCCAAGCGUUCCAUUGUCUUGUUUGUCGUUGAUUGCAAAAAACCUUCUGCCAUCCACAACAGAAUCAACUUCUCCUUGUCAAACUCAAAGUCCUUGGGGAACAAGGAGCAGUAUGCAAACAACUGCUUCAAACAUGGAGAGAGAUCAUGGUAGCUUAAUUUGAGAGCUGGAACAAUCCCAUCUCCCUUUUCUAGACUCCAUAUCUCACUAUUCAGCACUUCUUUCCAGUCUUCCUCAUCUAUUUUUGUCCUUAAUAACCUUCCAAGUGCUUUCAAAGCCAACGGCAACCCAUUACAUUUUCUGACAAUACCUUCACCAUGUGGUUUAAGUAGCGGAUGUGAAUCAAAGUUUUUUUCUCCCAAUGCAUGCUGACAAAAUAAGGAUAAAGCACUUUCAUCUGAUAGAAUAGGCAAAUGAUAAGGUUCAUUGUUACCAAGUUGGGUUAACAACGACAUCUUCCUGGUUGUCAUGAUAACUUUACUUCCGGGUGCCCCUGCAAGAAAUGGCCCUGCUAGGAUUUCCCAAUCCGUAUAGCUUUCACUCCACACAUCAUCUAAAACAAGCAGAAAUCGCUUAUUUGAGAUCUUCUCUCUUAAAGCUACUUGCAGCAGAUUUAAAUCCUUAAAUACUUGGUUUCCCCCACCUACUGAUUGAAAAAUAAUAUUGCUUAUAUUGAAGAUAUCAAACUCAUCAGAAACACAGACCCACGCCAUGAGUUCGAAAUCAUCCUUCCCUUGCAUUUCAUUAUACAAAAGUCUAGCGAGAGUGGUCUUACCUACCCCACCCAUACCAACUAUGGGCACGAUGCUAAAGUUUCUAUCACAUGGUUCAUAUAGCUUGUGGAUCAAAGCAUCCUUUUCAUCUUUGCGUCCAAUAAUACUAGAUGCAUCUACCAGAGAGGUCUCUAACCUUCUAUUUCUAUGUUUUGGGCUUUCACCUAUCACACUCAAACCAAGCUUAUAUUUUUCCUCAAACAGUUCUUCUAACUUGGUGAUAAUAUUUUCAAACCUGUCGUGCAUCCUAACACUUUCGGGUGAGAUAGUAAACAUACUUGGUAAGAGCUUUCUUAACUUGCUCGGGGUUUCAGAUUCCUCUGAGAAUUCACGAUGCAUAGCUUCAGUUUCCAAUUCGUCAAGUAGGUCGUCUAUGUCGUAAGCCAAAUGUUGGAGACUAUUCAGCCAUUCUUUAACAGCUUCCUGACGUAUUUCCUUCUCAGAAGCAUCAUUAAGCAGAUCUUUGAUCUUGAUUAACGACAUCUUUAAUUUCUCCAUGUCGUCGUCAUCGAUUUUCUUGAAACGAGCAAACUGCUUGAAGGUAUCAGAGGCCAGCUUGUCACAAAACAAAGAGUACAAGGCAGAAAUGAUUCCAGCCAUUGCUUGUGGUGAAGGCGUAGGUAUGAAUGAUCGGGAUGAAGAUGAAUUAAGUGUGACUGUGGAUUGAAAAGAACGAUUCAAGCCUUAGUUCAGUUAGUUGUCCAUUGUUUUGGUCAACGUCUUUUUACCACUGCUUUACUUUUGUACUACCUCCGUCCCAAAUUGAUAGUCCACUUUUGACUUUUGAAGUCUUUUUCCUUCAAUUUUGACCUUAAAUAUUUUUGUUUUUUAUAGAUAAUACUUGAUGCAAAAUAUAUGAAUGGAUUAUAUUUUAAAUGUUUUUUCAUUGUUAUAAGUUUUAUCAAGUAAUAUAUAACACAAAUAAAACUAUUUAAGGUCAAAGUUGAAGAAAAAAGACUUCAAAAAUCAAAAGUGGACUAUCAAUUUGGGACGGAGGGAGUAUUAUAAAUAUAAAGUGAUAUUUCCACUAGUAAUUUUAAAUUUUUAAUUCAUCCACUUAACAAAUAUGUAAUCAUUUUAUAUAUAAAGUGAUAUUUCCACUUGUGAAUUAAAAUUUUUAAUUCAUCCACUUAACAAAUAUGUAAUCAUUUUAAAUAUAAAGUGAUAUUUCCACUUGUGAUUUUCAAUUCUUAAUUCAUCCACUUAACAAAUAUGUAAUCAAAUGACUCAACAAAUUUUCACAUCUCUGUUCCUAUAACUGAUGUCUACUUGGACCUGAGCCCAUUUAUUUUUAACUGCUGUCAUACACAUGUCAUAUAAUACAAAAUUUCUGUAGUGAGAUAUAUUUUCUAGGUGGCCCACAAAGAUUAGCAUUAUGCCAUUAUACAGAACUUGUGCUGUGUAUGCUAGAAAACACGUUUAAAAUGUACAAAACUGUUGCUAACACUACAGGAAAGUGAUAGCAGUACAAAGAGGUGCAACAUGUGCAGAGAAUUGCUAAUGCUAUCAUGUCACAUGGAUAAGUAACA